GUAGGUCGUGGUCCUGUAGAAGUGUGAGUUGUCUAAGGGUGACAAAAAAUUGACCCGCCCUUUUCAUGUCGUGCAGUGGGAGGUCACUUCCUGCGUGCGCGGCCUGUAGGUGGAGCAGGCGGCGUGUCACGACACCAAGCCGGCCGGUGUCGUUGAGCGAGAUUACAAGUAGCCUUGAGGCUCUCUGCACGUAUUCUUCCCGGAGUGAGCCGAUCCCGAGGCCGCCUAGCUCGGCGGGUAGUAGGAUGGCGCGGGUGGCGCAAUCGCGUGGUAGACCGACGCAUCUUCGAGCGAUGCCUGCGAUUUGGGCGUCCAAGGCCCGAAUGUCUGGCUGCGUGUAGGCCAUGGUUGGUAAGGAGUAGGCCACUUUGGCUUUCAGGCACUGUUUAAUGAGCAUGUAGCAUUGGCGUGUGAGUUUUCGGUACCUGCUCAGCUCCUCGCCGGCGUCGGUUAGGUCGGCUUUGACCGCCGGAGCGCCAGUCUAGUGUCAUAGUGAUUUCAACACCGAGGUAUCGGUAGGGCUUGUGCGGGGGGAUGUAAGGGAGGGUGAUGGCGGAGCGCUUGCCGUCUUUGGUGCAUGUGCCGACAUGGAUAUGGCCCGCCAGGAGGCGUUUGAGGGUGCGGUCACAGGCGGGGCCCUUAAUGCUCUUGUCCGUACUGUUGGCGCUUGCAUAGUGGUGUAGUAUGCCAGUGCACGCGCUCUUGUCGCGGUUGAUGCGCAUGCCGCCCCAGGCAGCGUACCGGGCGAUCUUGUCAGUUUGGCACCUAAGGUUGUCUCGGGAGUUGGCAGCUACAGUCAGGUCGUCCGCGUAGCCUAGGGACGAGCAGUUAUGUUCAUCGUUUUCGCUGUUGGUGAGACAGCCGUACCGGUAGCCUCGUCCCCCGUAGUGGAGCCACCGCAGCAGCGGUUCAAGGAAGAUAAUGAACAGUAGGGGCGAUAGGGUGUCGCCCUGCAUAGUGCCGCGCCGUAUGUGAACAGGGUUGGUGCGGCCGUGUGUUGUGCGGAUUGUGGUGUUUGCGGAGGAGUACAGAUUGCGUACGACUUCAAUAAAGUCGGUUGGUAGGCCCAGGUGGUGCAUUAUUGUAAGCAAACGGUCGUGGUCAAUGGUACCAAAGGCGUUCGAGAAAUCAAUGUAUGCGACAUAUAGGUCUCGUUUUGUUAAGGCUGCGUCUUCUAUUACAUGCAGUAGGUUCAUGAUUUGGCGUUCUGUUCCCUUGUGCUUCUGAAAGCCCUCUUGUGCUUCGCUGUGGAUGAGAAGAUCUGUGCACGCUUCAGUUGCCGCCCGGGUGACUAAGCUGGUAUACAGCUUGUACAGUGUGUUGCACAGCGCAAUAGGCCUGUAGUUAGAGAUGGAGAGCGGGUCUGCCUUUUUGUACAGGAGAAUGGUGUCGCUUGUGGACCAGCCGGCCGGGAGUUCGGCCUUAAUCCACGCGACGCACAUGAGGGUAUGGACAGCGGAUUGUAACGCCUCUGGCAUGCACUUCAGUAGCUCGUUCGGGAUGCCGUCCGGGCCGGGGCUUUUAUUGCGGGAGAGGGCCUGCAUGCACCUCUGGAAGUUGCUGGAGUCGGCGACGUUGGGCAGCAGGGACUGAGCGUCUGGGUGUGCUGUGCGGGCCAGUAGGAAGCCGCCGUCGGGCGCUCCGGGUUCGUUCCACGGGAAAGUUGUGUCCUUGUCCUCGGGUCUGUAGCGGCCGGUGCGCUGGCCUCCGGUAGGUUCCGCGGCUGCCUGGAAGUGGGCGUGGAGCGCGUCGUUGAUGUCAGAACUGGUUGUGGCUAUGUGUUGGGUUGCGGGGUGCCGCACAGCCGUGAGGUUUUGCCGGGGCCCUGAUUUUCCGAGCAUAAUUUUGGCUGCCUUGCUUUGUGAAGUUGCAAAGAGUUUGGACAUCUUAGUCAGCCAUUUGCUAGCGGCCUUGGCGCUGGCUUCUUUCUGUGUGGUGCGGCGUGUUUUGAGUGCGUCUUGCCACUCCUGCCGGGCGGCAGUGGCGGGCGCGGGCGUCGCGGGGGGCUCGGGUUGUGAGGGAUUGGGGGCCGUUUGGAGGCGGGAUUGCGGGUUCCUGCAGUUGAGCCGCCCGCACGAGGGCGAGGUACUGUUGCUUUUUUUGUUUUUCGAUUGCCUAAAAAAAAUGUGCUAAAUGUGCUACAAAGACACAGCAGACGGCGAGCCGUCAUAAAGAGCCUGUCACCGUUGUCCAUUUCUGUAGCGGCUCGCUCUCACGCCUCUUUCUUCCUGGUCCGAGCGCAACCCCCAGUGGACGCGUCCGGACCAGCCAUGGCACCGAAGCGGCGCCGAGACGAAGCUGACGGGGCCGGGCUGAGAGCCUGAACGGCGCUAGCAGGGCGUGGGGCUGAGGGUGCACGUGUCGAUUGGCGGCGAGUGACGUGACUAGUUUGUUAGCUGCGGGUUAGCACGGACUGUGCACCCCACCCAACCGGCCAUGUCCGGAUUUGCGGGGAUGCCAAAGGCCCCCAACAUAGAGGCGUGUGCUUAGUAGGCGCCCGCGUCAAGGUGGCUGGGUUGAUAACGACCCGGGAUCAGCCCUUUUCCUGCCAUAAGGCAGCCACCUCCUUGUUUGUUUUUCGAUUGCUAUCAAGCGCUUGAGUUUCUUUGCUUCUGUUCGGGAAGGCUUCGCUCUGGAGGUCCGAGGUGGUUUCUGGGGGCACGUUUGCAGCAUGAGUUUUGCCCCGACGGCAAGCGCUCCAUAUAGAGCGGUAGAGGCGGCGUUGAGGUCGAUGGCGGAGAGUUGAGCGCGUGCGCCGGUUAUGAUGUCAUGGGCAGUGCGUGUCGAUGCCGUGGAGUUGGAGUGGUGAGAGAUUGCGGCUACGGUGGAGUCGAUGAUUUGUUGCGCGCUGCAGUUGGGUAGGGCAAGUGUGGCGUGUAGUGUUAUAAGCGCGGUGGUUCCUUCUGCCUCCCAUUGUUGUGAGAUGGCGCGACUUUGGCUUUGCGUGAUAGGUUUGACAAUGUUUGCAAGUGUUGGGCUGGCAUCUUCUGGUUGUCUUCGAGGUUCCCGUUCAGUGUGUGGGGAGGCGUCGCGCGGGGUUUUGUAGGGUAGGGUAAUUUGCAGGUGGAGAGCGAGAUGAUCAGUUGUGCCUGCACAUUCUGUGGUCCAUUCUCGAGCGGGGCUGUCCUGGCGCAGGGCGUGGGUAUUGGCUAGGAAGUCGUCUAUGCGGCUCUCAUGGGUGAUGGUGUCGUGUUGUAUCUGUGUGUAUGUGUACAGCCUGGGUUGUGUGUGGGCGCCUGCGGCUGGUUUGAGGCUUGUGCGAGUCAGGAAGGUCUGGUGCGUUUUGUCGCCUUGGGUACCAGUGCGGGUGCUCCGAUCCGUGUCAUAAGCAGCAGCGUUCCAGUCCCCGCCGGUUAGGAGGGGUUCCUUUAGGCGGGCUGCGCUCUUGGUGGCACGGGUGAUGUAUGUGUAUAAUGCAUCGCGGGUGGAUUUGUUGUCUGGUGGGCAGUAUAUCCCGAUGAUAUGCAGCGGUAGGGAUGAAUGUGUUGCGAUUCGCAAGUGAACCAUGUAUCCUUGCAGCUGUGCUGGUGUGGGCAAGCAUGUAAUGUGUUCUUUCCGGGCGUAUCUGGUGUGUACGGCUAGUGUGACGCCGCCGGAGGGAUGGUGCCGCCGCGGGUCUUGUUUUUGGCCCUUCAGUGGUGGGGGGCGGGGUGUGCUGUGCACGAACGACGUGUACGCUUUGAGGUUGUUUUUGAUGAUGUCUCGUUCCGUCCUGGUUCGAUGGGCUCUCGUUUUGGUUUCGGUGAGUAUGAGGAUGUCUGCGUCCCAAGUCUCUAAUUCAUCUCGAAUCGCUGUCAGAUUUGAGAGCAGGCCUCGGGCGUUAAGUGUGACGAGGUGGCAUGCGUCGGUGUGUAUGGGUGCCACCGGCGUUGCAGGGUCUUCCCGAGGCGCCUGUGCAGCCUUGAGGAAUGCUUGGAGUGUGGCUUGUCGUGCCUUGACAGCCAGGCGCGGUGGGGGGUUGGGAGGCGCGGCGGGUGGUGAUUGUUGGGGGGAAAUGUUGGUUACGGCCGGCGUUGCAGUGGGUGUGUGUGGGUUUGCCGGGGCGCGGGUGUUUGGGGCUCGCUUUGCUUCGCAAUUGGUUGUGGCCCGUGUUGUUUUGCGUGGUGCCGGGGGGGGAUAGGGAGAGCGCGCGUUUUGCAGCCUUGCGUGGGUUGGUGGGGGAGCCCAUGGCUCGCAGGAGGGCGUGUGUAAUGGUGUUUGUGCGUGCUUUUUGGGCUGAGCCCCCCCAGCGAAGCGUUCCAGGGGGGGGCGAAGCCCCCCAGGAACACCCCUGUCCGUGGCUGGUUCGUUCGUGCGUCGGCAAAACAUAGCAUACUGGCGCAAACCGCGAGUGCUACGUAUUAUUAUUUGUUAAUGUCUAUUGCAUGUAAAUAGGUGGCAGGGAAAAUUCGGGCGGAGCGAGAAGUGCCUUCGCGCGUCCAUGGACAAUUGACUUUCGCGAGGUCGCAAGGAAAGCAUCCGGUGCCCGCUGAUAUGCAGUCUCUAAGGCAAACUAUGUUGGCGGCAAGCAAAGCGGGGAAGUAUAUCGAAAGGUGUGAGCGACUUGCCGAGCCAUGCCUGCCGACGCGCCAGAAUGCCGAGAAGCCCCGAGGUCGCCCCCGCCCCGCGCCUAGCCCUUUGAGCGUGGGGCGCCGGGGAGGUGUUGAGUAUGGCAGGAGGCGAAAAAAAUGCUUGGGGUGUUUGGGAACGUGACAAGGCACGCAUGCGUGGCGCGGGAAAUCCCGCACGACCCCAACCCGAGUGUCCCUAGCCGAUGCGUCUGCGCGUCGUAGCGGCAUGGAGGCUCUGACGGGGCGUUACACGCCUAUUAUCUCCCAAGCGUACGGGGGCUCAGCCCAUUUUCCAGCUGUACAAAGCUGACACCCCUUGUUUGGGUCGUGGGCUGCGGGUUGGUGAUUUGGCGUGUGUGACAAUGAUGUCUCGCGUGCACGGGCCUCCGUCCCAAAUAGAUUCGUGGAACAGAGGUGAGGGAUCUUGGGUGACAGAGCCGGGGGUCCAGGUGUGACGUGUGACGGCGAUAUAGUGGUUGCAGUCUGUAACGGGAAACGCGGUGGGGAAGCCGGCGAGAGCCCAGGAGUGGGGUACAUGUGCUAGAUACACGUCAUGGCGGGUGUCAUUGGGUUGGGGUGUUGGGAGAGUGAGCCAGUCGGUGUAGCCGGGGCUAAUGACGUGGAUUUGGACGCCGGGUAGGAGGGAUUGGAGGGCAAUCAGGUCAGGGAUGGUAAGCAUGGAGGUAUCGCGGAUAUUGCGGCAGUGUGUGCGUAUGGUGUUCUCUGGGUGUGGGGAUUCAUCGUAAAGGCCGAGGACGUGUGUGCGCAUCGGGUCGGCGUCAUAAGACUACCUCUUGCGAGUCCCUAAGCUGACAAGCUAGGGCGAGGCCGGUGGCGAGUCCGUCACUGGGCCCACAAAGAUAACCCCUCCCACAUCAUCAGAGGCUAGGAAUGGGUGCUGAGUUGGGACUAGGUCCCAGCGGCGCGGAGGACGGCGGAGACUCACCAACGCAGCAAGCCGCGACCAGAAAUCAGCCACCACCUCCAGGGAGGGUAAUUUGUGUGCCUCUUUCACCUCGCGUCACUGGGGAGCUCUCAGUGUGCAGCUCCCGCGCGUGAGGCGCGCGCAAUGGGUAACUACCCAGAAAUUUUUUCGCGUUGUAUGGGUGCCUCACAGGCCCAAGGAUCGUUCAGUGAUGCCUAAAGUGCGGGUGCGUGUGAGGACGGACCGCGCACUGACACGGGACCUGCUGAGAGGUGCUGUCCCCCGUGUGGCCGUGUGGUUCCUAGAUCCCGAUACCGUUUACUGUUGCUGCGGAAAGCUGUUACCUGUCGUUUACUAGCUAAAUCGAGAUGCGGAAGCGUGCGGAAUUAAUUGCGUUAACGGGCUUGCUGUCAAGUGCCGGCGUGUACAGGCCGUGCACGUGUGAAAGGAGAGAGCGGCGGCAAGGAAAGGGCGGCUCGCUCGUGUGUCCACUCACUCGCCGGCGGCGAGACCUGUAAGAGGGACAGAAAGACUAGAGAGGGCAAGGGAGUCUUGUCUCCUUGGCGUAUCCUUCUGGUUUGCCUGCGGGGGACAGGGGCGGUCUAGGGCCCUAUGGCUGUGCGGCAGGGACGGCUGACCAGGGGCCGUAUGGAUUGACACGCGGGAGGGUAAGGGCUCCUACGGCGUGUGGGAAAGGGAAUCAGACGCGAGAGGCUAAGGCAGUCGCGCGUAUACGUUACAGACACGAGGCUCUGAAGCAACUCGGCGAGGCUCAGAGCCCGGGAAAACUAAGUUAAUUGAGUUCGUCUCCAGCCAACCUGUUCAGAGGCCUAGUGCGGUGCUGCUGGCUUGAGGUUCGGUGUUUACCGUCAGGUCCGGGGAAUGCCUUUGGCUGGAGAGGCCCGGCCUUAUAUACUCGGCGAGAACCCGUACACGCCCGCCAGUGCCCUCGUACACCAUGCAGCUCUAUGGCAUUUCAACGGGCCAGGACGCUUCCAGGUCGGGCUCUACGAGUACUGUGCGCCCGACAACCUUGUCACCACCGCGUCACCUGGUCUGCUCGCCACCUGCUCGCCGUUCACUCGCUCCCUUCCAGCUGCUGUACUAUGCCCGUACCGUCUACUUUGCCCUACACUUCAGCUACCCUAGUCUUACGCAUUCGUGGCUGCAAGCAGCGCAGUCUGGCCCACGUCUCGUAUAGGUCCGGGGCCAUUUCAGUUGGCGCACUCCAACGGCCAACCGCCGCGCUCUUUCCUGCUCCAUCUUUCUGAUUUUCCUGAUACUUUUGAGACGCUCCGGGGAUCACUAACAUCUUCGGUAAUUGGUUGUGUUGUUUGCUUUGGCAAGGGUCAGCCGGUUUCCGCGGCUCCUGCGUUUUCUCUAUCUGCCUUGCUCGCGUCCCAUAUUUCUGUGGCAACAAUCCAGUUUACUUCAAACUCACAUUCGCAUGUUGUGGAUAGUCCUGUCGCAUAUGCACAAUCGAGCUCGCUGGUUUGGUCGUGGCCUUGCGGCCGAAGCCCCCAAUGCUUCCCCUUGCUCGCUGGUUUCCCCCAGAGAGCUUCAUGCUUCCCGCCCGUGAGGUCUGCUUGCCUGCCAGGACACUUUUGGAUGAACGCAGACUCAAUCUAGCACCUGUGUCCGUUUGCGUCUUGACCUGUUUCGGGUGACGAGCCCCAUGCGCAGCACAUCAGUGAGCCCGGCUAACACAACUCAGCCGAAAAACGCGCAGCCAGUGCGACUGCUUCUUUGUGUCACACACCUAACGCCUCGCAAAAUACCGGCACGCCCUAGCAGCGGCAGCUGUUCAGCCUGCGCAACCAAACGCCUCGCCUCCUCGCAACCGGUUGUGCUGUCGCUGCGGAUGGAACAGGCAUGGGCCAAGAGAGCGAAGUCCCGGGAGUGUCCGAAACCCCCCACAGAUCAGCAGAAUGCAUUCUGGCAUAUGGCAGGCAAGCAGGCGGUAGGGCGCAUAAGCAUGUGGAACGCGCUGCGACUGUACCGACGGCGUCAGAAGCUAGCUGGAGGUUGCUGGUAGGUUUAUGCUGGCGCGCACCGCAUGUUGAAUGUCCCAUGCUGCCGCCCGCCCGUCGUACCCUUCGGCUUGCUUGCUUCGGCGCGCGCGCCACCGAGACUCUUUCCUGCUUGCUCACUUGUGGCCCGGCCAACUGCUUUGACGCACGCUGCUGCAUCUUCAAUAUUUAGGCGAGUCCGCGGCUCACCCGUGGACGACCCAUCUGGACUGCGCUGCAGGUGCGCGCGCUCGUUUCGCGUUCAUUCCCUGCACAAGCAUGUUGUGGAGUCUGUGGAGCGUGGCCUGGCCGGGCGACCCGGAACGAGGAGUGCACACAGCCGAAACUGUCAGCGCUAUCAGCCGCGGUUACAGCGCCAGCAAAACUUCCGGCACCGACACCCAACUCACCAUCUUCUCCAUGCAUCCUGCUUCACUGCCCCUUCUCGUUUACACAUACGUUUGUAUUUGGGUUCGCGGGUUGGGGCCAUAACCCAGUCGGGACUUCGCCGCAUCGCACUCCAUGGUCAGCCACCACCUCCACACCUAUCCUUCGCACAACAGCAACCUCCACAACCGUACCAGGGCCACCCCAGCAAGCGUAGAGGCGCUGUCGGCCGUAUUCCAUGGCAGCCACAGCACGAUGUCCCACGAUGUCCCACGAUGUCCCACACCGCCUGCGAAAGCCCUGGUGGCGCCUGCACUAACCAAAACUGGUGCCGUGACAUGUCCACUCCCGCAUGCUCCUGCAACACAUCACGAAGUGCGCCCGCUACAUCACAGUUCCAGAAGUGGUGUUCCCUGGCCCCAGCAGUCAUCACAACCCCACACGGGCAUGGCUUCGCACGCCCGGCGGCAGCCUGUGCUGCCAUCAUACCAAAACCCGUGACACCAUUGACUGCUAGGCGCCAGAGAGGCUCUUUGUGUCGCGGCUCCCACACCAAAGCCCACAGCCGCGCCAGCGUUCACCGCAGAGACGUGAAGGCCUCCGCCAGCGGCGCAGCGCCGCCGUAAGCGUCUCGGAGGAAAGCCAUGUGACGCACACGAAGCGCGUCGUACGCCGGCGCCAGCUCCAGAAGCGUCGCUUGCUUCACCGUCAGGGUCAGCAGCGGCACCUCGGCAGCGCCCAGGCGCCACCCCAGGCUCUGCGCUAUGAGCAGCCACACCUGGGGUGCGGCCGGCGCAGCGUCGGCGUUGCACGCCGCUCUACCUUUUACACAAGCUGGGCCCUCUGCUACCAGCCGCCUGCAAAAAGUCGCGGCCAAGAACUUAAACUAAACGUCUAGGAUCCCCUCACACCUCACUCCUUCUAGACACCUACAUUGACAUCACACCCCCAUGCUAAAUACCUAGGAUCCCCUGCCAGUUUCCGCCCACGCGCACGCUGGGCCGCCAAGCUAUCUACAACAGGGUCGGCAAGUGUGGCGCAACGGCGUUCAUUUGGUGAUACAGCGCGACCUAGCGCAUGCCGUUUGCUGCAAUCGCUUCCAUGUCGCGGCGUCUAUAUGUGAUCAUUUGGCCAGGGCGCGCGCGCGACUGCGGCGUAUGAACGACGCGAGUAACUGCGCUUCCCUGACAGCUGCAAAAAUUUGCGCAGCGAUAGAACACAGCGCGAUGUACUCGCGGCACAAAAUAUUUCAUAUUAACGCACAUCUAUAGCAAAAUGUGAAUGUCGCUCCAAGCGUCGCAAGCCAGCGACGCAAAUUUGCUUCCUCGCGAUUCUUUAGCGGCGCUGUAUUCAUGGAUACCAGUGCUGCUAUAAUAAUAAUAAUAAUAAUAAUAAUAAUAAUAAUAAUAAUAAUAAUAAUAAUAAUAAUAAUAAUAAUAAUAAUAAUAAUAAUAAUAAUAUCUACGCAGGGCACAAGUGCCCGCGUGUCUUAAGGAGGAGUGAGACAAGCUCACCCCACCGUGUAAGACCGACGACCCUCACCCUGGUUUCCGAGGGUGGGGCCCACUGGUGGCGCCACCCUGGGUGCGGCCUCCCUGGCUUCCAGAGCGUCGGCGGGCAUGGGCAAUGCCCAUUUCCUGCUCAAGUUUAUAGUAUAGGCUGGCGGUGCCCUUCAGGGCCGUGAGGCUGUGCAUGUGCAGGCGUGUGCAGCAGUUCUUUGCGGAUUGUGGUUUCACGCCCAGUUCCUUGAGGAGCGGUUCCAGUGUGCGCGGGAUGGUGCCCCCGUGACCGAGGGUGACAAUCUGGGCGGUGUCGUAAUGGACGGUCCAUCCGUCCGCCCGCAUUGCGGCAGCAAGUGCGGCGUGCUGAGCCUGUUUUUGGAUGACUUUCUCGCUGUGGUGCAGGUCAGAUGCGUAGCCAACCUCAAUAAGGUAUACUGGGUAGGCGCUCUUGUCGGUGGGUGGGGAAGUGACAAAGCGCUCGGCUGUGGACCUGGGCAGUUUGGGGAUGAAAAGAAUGUCCGGGCGCAUUCUGUCGCGGUCUCCUGCCGAGAUUUGCGGGCACAGCCAGGAGGGCGGACGCAGCCCUGCGCAGUAUUCGGGUAGGUCUGCCCGGCUUGUGGCAUCCAUAAUCAUGUAGCCGCCGCCAUUGUUGCCAUGGUGCAGGCAUUCAGCUAUUAUGCGGACGGCAGUAUUGUGUUUCGCAAUGCGAGCUCCCACCAGUUUGGGGUGUGAGCAGUGGCCGGUAAGAUGGCCGGCUGUGCCGCGUUCGGGCUCUGUCCCUCGGCUUCGGUGGAUGUGUGCACACAGGCCGCAUUGGUCGCUGUCGCGCAGUUUGAACAGGGCAAGCCGAGAGGGGCAGAUCAUGCCACCAUGCCUUGCAUUUUGGAUGAAGCGGCGCAGGCUGUGGCCAGCGGCUGGGUGCGUCAUGUACGCGUUACUAGCGCGUGGGUCCAGGUUGGGGCUGGCCUCAGCCCAUUUAGUGGUGUACAGCGUGUGUUUGGCGUACCCACCGCAGCAUUCGGCGUUCAUCGCCUUGGUAAGCCCCUAGGUUCAGGUCCGAAACGUAGUGGGUAUCAGUGCUGCCGUCGUCUCUGGGGACCUGGAAUGUGGGCCACCAGUGCGAGGCGUGCGGGUUGCUGUCGGCGGUCUCCGUGACGUCGGCGGGUUUCUCGUCCAGGGCCACUGCAGCAGCGCCUUUGUCGGCUUCGUCGUUUCCAUGUAAGCCAGUAUGGGAGACGACCUUUAUCAGCGAGGUGCGUACACUGGGUGCAUGUCGCGCAUGGAGAAGAUCCACAUUGGAACUUAACAACUCCCGGUGUUUGCUCAGGUGCAGUGCUGCUAUAUCUUGGCAACUUCAGGGCCUCAUGCCUUGCGAGGAACUCUCGAGAACCUGCGAAGCUGCGAACCUCGCCCCGCUCGCACCCCGCCCCCCGCCUGCGGGGGGAGGGACAACCUCCCCCCGCACCCCCCGCCCAUCACGUCAUCACCACUACACACCAUGCUUGUGGGGGGAGGGACACCCUUCCCCCACAUCCCCGUCCCAUCAUCAUUACCACACGCCCGCAGAGGAGGGACGCCCCCUGCCUCCCCUCCAAUGCAGCCAACAGGGGGGGGGGGAUGCAGGGGGCCGGAGGGUCUCCCUCCCCCCGCUGGUAUCUGGGUGCUGUUGCGGUUGCUGUUUGGCCCGUCCCAGAUCCCCCCGCCGCAGGGUAAAUUGGCACAUCCAAGACUUCCCGCACACAGAGGAGAACGUUAGCCACCGGUGUCCCGGCAGCACGUUGUGCAUUCGUCACCUGAUGAUAGAGAUUGCAUUGGUUACAAGAGGGACUUGCUGACGCGAGUCGCCAGCGACAUCUGCUCUGGACCUCAGGGACGUGCCACCUGCAACGCCGACGACCUACUCUAGUAGUAGGCUUGCUCUCGUAAGAGCUCCAUUUACCUCCGGUUCUGCUCCUAACAUCGAGUGCUAGGACCCUGCUCAACCACCCGACCAAUCAGAACUACUCGAUUUUUUGGAGUCCGCAGCAAACCUUCCGGACUGAAUCCAGCCAAAUCAACUAAGCCUAAACUCGUCCAGCCCACUGCAUGUCCGUAGUCUAUUCAUUCCGAUCGAAAUCGGAGGGGUGUAUGGGAGUCGAACCCAUGACCUCGAGCGAAUUCGUCCCUUGACGCUAUCCACUCGACGCGGAACCGCCCACCCCAUGAUAGAGCCCUUGACCGUGAACAACUCACGCAAGGACUGUGGACGCAAGGGCUACACGCUGGCUGACUGCCCACACAAGCCGAAGUGCGUUUUCCUGAAGGCGCCGACCAAGGCGGACUGGGAGUGAAGCUGUUGUAACGUGCAAGUGCAGCUUGGAUGUGCCAAUUUACCCUGGGGCGGGGGGAUCUGGAUGGGACGGGCCAAACAGCAACCGCAACAGGGGGGGGGGGGGUGCAAGUAGUGCAAGGAGCGCAUUCCCGCUCCGCCAACGUACUUAAGCGUACGUAUACGUGAGCGUACGAUAGCUUGGCUCAGGGGCUAAGUUGACAAGGAGAAGGCCACAUACUCACAGCAGAUCUACACCGUUACAUGUAAAGGGGGCUAUCCCUUCGCUAUGGAGGGCAAGCAGCGCCUGUAUCGCCCGUCAGAGAUGCAGUUGGUGCAAUAUUGCGUAGUGAGGCGACGGACAGGCUGACGAGUGGGGCGAAGCGACAGGCAUACGGAGGCCGCGCAGGAGCAGCGCCAGGUGCGGCGUGUUGCCAGCGCUCUUGAUUGCAACCACUCAGCCACGCGCGAAAUUGAAGCACAUGAGUCACCCAGCGCGCCGGCGCGACCGAAGAAGCCUGCGGGCAAGCGCGGUGGCAAUAGUAGGGUAUAUAUAUGGGCAAGCGCGACCAAGUGCGUCGCAGGGGUGGUGCGUGGUGAAACACACUACGAGGUGUCGCGUUUUGAGGCCAGCAAGUAUGUGGGCGGCAAGCUACAAUUCCUAGUAAAAUUUGAGGGACUCCCUAAAGCAGAAUGGCUCCCUGCGAAGCAGCUGCAAGAGGACCUGAGCCCCGAUGCCUAUCGCGUGCUGCGCAGGCGAUGAAAGUAACCUGAUGUUGUAGUUUUAUAUAGCUCGCAGAAUAUAUCAAAGUUUGUAGUUAUAUUUACGCUGUCGCGCUGAGUGCGACUCGCCCCCGAGUUUCACUUCAGUUUUGCCCCAGUUUCGCGCGAGUUUCGGCGGAAUUUCCAUCGAAUUUCCGCCAGUUUUCCGCCGAUGUCCCCUGCGCCCCGCCCGCGCGUCCCCCCAUGGGACUCUUGUGCACUCCAGCGAGUCCCUUCGCGCUCCGAUGCUUCUCUUCAGCCCCCUGCCGCCGCCCCAGCGACUGUCCUUUCGUCAGCCGUGUGAAACCAUGUGCGUGCGCUCAGAGGCAGCCUAUGGACAGGGGUCAGCCCCAUGCUUGUCUCUGAGUUUACACGCAGCUCACACACGCAGCUUCCCAGACGGCCUCGCGCACGAUUAUGCACUCCCACUCACGCGCCGCGCCAACCGCCAACCUCCGCCGAGCUCCGCCGAGCUCCGCCGUACUCCACAGCAGCUUCCCUUACACGCCUCGCUGCCCAACUCUGCACUCCCACUCGCGCUGCGCACCAACCACCACACCCCGCCGAGCUCCGCACGCCUCAGUUGACACACGAGUGACUGGGGUGGCACAUACAAUAUCAUAAUGUAAAGCUUCUUCCAGCCGCGCACAACGCUACACAACGCUACACAACGCCAGCCCAACACAACACACAUACAAAACUUUUGUGGUUUACGCUUUACUGCGCUACCCAGACAUCUUUUAAAAGCAAGCGAGAGGAAUGAGCGCUAAGAAGGAGCCCACCAUGCAGGAGGCGGCUGCCGCCUGGCGUGAGCGCUCCUGGGCCUCUGGCACUGCCGAUUGGCAUGCUGUUAAGAAGAGGAAACCCUCAGACUUGAACGGGACCAUUGAGGAACUGUUUGUGAGACAGAGCUAUGCCGAUGCCGCGCUGAGGGAAGUGUUCGCAUUAGUGAAGGACUAUCCUGAAUUAAAGAAGAAGAUGGCUGACUUUGAGGUUAAGCAGACGCUGCUGGAGGAGAGGCUCGCGUCCUCGCAGCAAGCAUCCACUCCGCUGCAGAAGUCUGUGCGAGUUCGGGAUUUCGCACCUCCUCGACCCCAAGCCCGUUUGUGGCAACUACGCAGCGAGCAAGGCAGCGAAACAAAGCGCAAUAGCUUCCAGACUUGGUAAGCUAAUGGUUAAUUAUGGACAAGUAUAGUGCGCGCCAUGUUUAAGUAAACGCGGGUCCAGUAACGCCUCGCUACGGCCUCUCGCCGCACUUAAGCUCACCAGCUCGAACCGACCCCCACAUCCGGAGCCCCCAUUCCGACCCCAUAAGCGCACCUCCGAACCCGCCCGCCCCACUUUCCACAAUCUAUAUGCAUAUAUGCAUAUGGCCCAGAAGGCGCAGGGCCAUCCAAAAGCCCUUGACCGAACUUCGCCUUGUCCAUUGUCGCAUGUUGCCCCCACACACGCACCCUGCCCACGCCACCCGCAUCCAACAGAAAUCAAACGUAGCGCUUUCACCAUAGCAAGAGCCCGGGCGCUAGGACACUCCAAGGUGUGUUCGCAUGUGGGGGCACAACGCGAGACAAGGGGCUUUGGCCGUCCAACCAAGCCCAGCUAGUCACCAGGUCACCUAAGCUUCACAGGGUACAGACCUGCAUGCCAAGCGGACGCGCAAGGACAUAGAUUCCGGGGCUCUGCCGUACUCCUAAGCGGACGGGGGUGCGGGCAAAACCUCGCCAGGCCUCGCCUGAUAUUAGGGCUUGGCGCUGUGGAAAGCGGGGCUCAAAUUGGAGAGGUUGACAUCAAGUUUGGGGGCGAAACGUGCGGCUGGGCAGGGGCGCCGAUGAGGGUCUCGGCCGAACUCGCACAGACUUCUGCAGCGGAGUGAAGGGGACGACAGCCUGACGGGAUUUGAACUCGGGUUCGACACGUGCAGGCCGGAUCCAUGGAGCCCAACCCCAGCACGCCCAGCACCGGCACGAAACCCAAGGGCAACCCCAAGCCUCCCCGAGGCCGUGGCGGUGCGGGAGUCUGAGCGCCGCCGUGUCUGCUGUCUAAUGGCUCGCAACUGUGCGCUGCAAGCCCAGGCUACAAUCAAGAACAAGAAGACUAGUGAGCUUAGCGCGCACUAAUCUGCAGCUGCAGGCCGUGCCCUGAAGGAGCGCGUGGAGGCAACGCAUCCUCCUGGCCACUGGCGGCCAGCAGCGAGUUGUACUGCAGGGCUGCACUGAAGAGGACGACCAUUGAGGCGGCCAGGUUGACAGUGCGUGGCGAGGAUGAGGGGCAAAUGAAGCGGUUUUUGAGGAGGUGAUGAUUGCCACAACACAUGAUGGAAUCGACGGAUGGCAGCAGUGUGGGGAGGGGCGGAUGCGGGGUGCGAGGGGAAAGGGAGGUGGUGGGCGCGGGACCAAGCUGGGUUCAGGAGGCACGCCGUGCCUGUGCAAGCCGAAGCUUCUCACCGGCACGAUUUUCGCAGGUGCCUGAGAGCCCAAUACACCUAUGAUAUAGCUAAACCCAGCGCGCUCAGCAGCGGGUUACGGCGACGCUCCAGGUGCGAGCGCGGAGAGGGCAGAUUCGAAAUGCCGCUGAUGCCGACUCCUCGUAGGACGCUCCUGAGCCCGGCCGCUGUGCUCCGUCGCGUUCACUUUGACCUUCUGUAUGUCGUGAGGCCGCGGGGAGGCCAAGCGCAGCCCUAACUGCGAAGCUGCGCCUCCCUUCACUCCGCUGCAGAAGUCUGUGCGAGUUCGGGAUUUCGCACCUCCUCGACCCCAAGCCCGUUUGUGGCAACUACGCAGCGAGCAAGGCAGCGAAACAAAGCGCAAUAGCUUCCAGACUUGGUAAGCUAAUGGUUAAUUAUGGACAAGUAUAGUGCGCGCCAUGUUUAAGUAAACGCGGGUCCAGUAACGCCUCGCUACGGCCUCUCGCCGCACUUAAGCUCACCAGCUCGAACCGACCCCCACAUCCGGAGCCCCCAUUCCGACCCCAUAAGCGCACCUCCGAACCCGCCCGCCCCACUUUCCACAAUCUAUAUGCAUAUAUGCAUAUGGCCCAGAAGGCGCAGGGCCAUCCAAAAGCCCUUGACCGAACUUCGCCUUGUCCAUUGUCGCAUGUUGCCCCCACACACGCACCCUGCCCACGCCACCCGCAUCCAACAGAAAUCAAACGUAGCGCUUUCACCAUAGCAAGAGCCCGGGCGCUAGGACACUCCAAGGUGUGUUCGCAUGUGGGGGCACAACGCGAGACAAGGGGCUUUGGCCGUCCAACCAAGCCCAGCUAGUCACCAGGUCACCUAAGCUUCACAGGGUACAGACCUGCAUGCCAAGCGGACGCGCAAGGACAUAGAUUCCGGGGCUCUGCCGUACUCCUAAGCGGACGGGGGUGCGGGCAAAACCUCGCCAGGCCUCGCCUGAUAUUAGGGCUUGGCGCUGUGGAAAGCGGGGCUCAAAUUGGAGAGGUUGACAUCAAGUUUGGGGGCGAAACGUGCGGCUGGGCAGGGGCGCCGAUGAGGGUCUCGGCCGAACUCGCACAGACUUCUGCAGCGGAGUGAUCAACAUCGCGUCGCAACUCUGACGACGAGGACGAGGAGACUUUCGGCGUGAUCAAGAACAUGAGCUUGAUGGAAUCCAUGAUGGCGGCGCGGAACGACUUUUCCUGGCUGCCUGGCAUCGAGGAGGGUGACAUAGCUUUCCAGCGUGAGUGGAACCAGCCCAGCGGGGGAUGGAGCGCGGUAGUGCUGAUCGCUGAGGGGCGGCGGAGCAAGGUGUUCAAGGCUGCAAAGCAGUGGAAGGGGUCUGGAGAGGGGCUCACGGCGGUGCUUGUGCCCUACCUGUCGCGUGCCACGAUGCGGCUGCGGCAGGACAGGACCGAUGUGUUCCGGAGCUUGGCGGAAGCAGGGGCCAAGCCGAAGUGGGAUGGCAUAGCGGACAUUCGAUACACUGACGAGCGGGGCUUGCGCAGGCUGUAUGAUUUCUGAGAGAGCUGGCGUGACUGUUGCUGCAGUAGGCGCUGAGGCGGUUUGUCUUUGCUACACAACGUGACAGCACAGAACGUGAUUGGGGCUUGAUUCUGAUUACACAACGGGGCACAAGCACGUAACGCACACAACGGCACAAGCACAGAACGUGAUUGGGGCUUUAUUCUGUUUACACAACGGGGCACAAGCACACAACGGCGCAAGCUUCUGCCUGGGGCUUGAUUCUGUUUACACAACGAGGCACAAGCACACAACGUGAUUGGGGCUUGAUUCUGUUUACACAACGAGGCACAAGCACACAACGCACACAAUGACACAAGCACAGAACGUGAUUGGGUCUGUAUUCUGAUUACACAACGGGACACAACGCACACGAGUUUGCAUCACGGUUUUAUAUCUUUGUUGCUUCCCUACUUUUUUCCGUGGACUGCUAUGACGUUUUGAUGUUCAAGAGGCGAGGAGCCCUUGCGGCUCGGUUAGUCUCGUUGCAGGUCCUGAGAUGACCACACAUCCACCUGUAACAACAUCACACACACGCCUCGCUGCCCAACUCUGCACUCCCACUCGCGCUGCGCACCAACCACCACACCCCGCCGAGCUCCGCCGUACUCCACAGCAGCUUCCCACACGCGCCCCUCACAACUGCCAGCUCCCAGUCGCGCUGCGCGCCAACCACCACGCCACGUGCCGCCCCUGUACGUUGACAGUUGCGCGAAAGCCCGUUUGUGACCCCCGUGUGUCAGUUAAAGUGUUGGUAGUUGCGAAAGGUGCCGCGCCGCACGCCGCACGUGCAAAGUACACGCAUCACCACUGCUGCUAAUGCCAGCAUGCAUUGAUACAGCGGGGGCCCCGGAAGCGCAGCACAUGGGUUUCUGACGUUCCCUACAACGCGUUUGUACAGCAUCCGCGGCCUUAUCAGGUUCUCCUGGUCUCCGGAUUAGCGGGGCCCUCGGGCCCCCUGAAAACUCGAUCGGCUUGACGCAAUGAAGCGCCCAGAUAAACAUACAGGAUGCCACCUCCAUACACCGCGCCCCACAUCAUCACCCGCCCCCCUGACCCAGCCCAUACUACCCUGCCUCUGCCCAUACUACCCGUGAUGCGCGGCACAGGCAACUCACCAGACACUAGACACGCCCUGCCCAUGCUUACUAGGGCAUAACAUCUGCGCACGCACUGUUCAGGGCCUUAACUCGUGGUAGCACAACCCUGUUCCCCGGUCACCCUGAAGAACCUACAGCUCAGUAGCAUAAAAGUCCGACCGCAAGAUUCAAGGGAUGACACAACCCUUUCACCCCGCUCUGGGAACCUCUAAAUCGUUAAUGCGCAUGCAUGGAAGGGCGCAGGCAGUAUCACAGGUCCCAACUGCCACCCGCCGUUGCUAAAUUGCUCUUCAACCAGCUGUAGAGACUGCGGCACGACAUCCUUGCCGCCAUGUGCUAUGCAAGUGUCAUGCAUUUGGUGCAGCGCACCGUAGAAAGGACUUACUAAACGCCACAUACGAACACAUGAUUACACAACCCCGCGCGCACACACACGUGACGGAAGAUGAUGUCCAAGAUUACUAUGCUCAAGCGCACACAAGCAGGUGCAAGAAGAGUGCAUGUUUGCAGCUUGACCUCCCAGCAACUUCUGCAGCAAACCGGCCACCGAGGGGCCCUGGCUGCCUGCCCCCCAUCCCGCCAUGCUCUCCACAAUCGCUUAAGACAUCACAAUGCACCUGAUCGGGCAAGCAUUCACCCUAAUGCGGCACAGCACUCAAGCGUAUUAUGCUCAACACUUUAUCCGCGCUCCCAACCCUGGAUACUUAGGCACAUCAAAGCCCCCACCCGGCCCAUUUCAAUUCCCAUUCCAAACCUCAGCGCCUGGCUUGGUAGCACACACAACAAAGCGCAAUACAGCUGGUCCCAUCUCUUGAAAGUUUAAAGCUAAAUAUUUAAACAGCAUUCACCAUACCUUGUGACGCCAAGCUCACCCACACGAGCAUAGGCCUCGGAGGGCUUCGGACGCCCACAAUAGAACAGCCAGCCAACCGUAAGCCACGCCUUGCCGAAUACAUUGCCCCCACCGUCCUCUCUCUCAGCCACCGAAAAUGCGCAUGGGGCCCGCGCAGCUGGUACUCCGCAAAUUUUGGACGUAUUCGAGCUUGUACUUUAGCUCACACCCCGCCAUAUGACCAGUAAUCCGCGCCUGCCGCCAAUGCCGUGUGCUGGCGUCCCCUGCGGCUCGCAAUUCCCCUGAGUACCGGUACUGACUCGACAGCCUCUUUUCUGUGCACAGCACAGCUCCAAUCCCACAUCGCCUCAACAAAUCAGACCUUCGCUGUGCCGUUGCGCAACACCCCUCCGGUCCGACAGGUUGCAAUCAUGCCCCGUGACCACAAGCUCAUAUCUUCCCGUGCGCGGGCUUGCAAAGCUUUACAGCUAACCCCGUACAGCAUCUCGCAGCACACCGCUUGCGGCUCACCAGUUUCAAAGCAUCCCAGAAAUAUUAUUCAACCUGUAGCUCAGUGGCUCACAAAAGCUCACAGCUCGCCGUUCUCAAGCAUCAUACGCAGGCACUCCUUCCGCAGCACUUCCAUCUUGAUGCCGUUGUGGCGCACCUCGCGCCAGCCGUCGCAGGCGAUGCGCUCGCUGUUGCGGCUUCGCAGCACCACCAGCGCAAACGCCGAGAUGCUGGGGUAGGCGUUGCCGCAGUACAGGAUUUCGCCUGCGGGACACGGGGCCACGGGUAAGUGCCGUGAGUAACCUGUUCAUGAGUGCCAGGUGGUGGAGCAGGUGGCAAAGCGAUGCAAGCACCCAAUGGGGGUGGCUAGGCUGUGUGUAGAUGUGCGCACAGCCCGCCUCGCGGCUUCCCGCCUGUGUUGGAGGCCAGUCACAAAGCAGCCCCCAAGCUGGAGGGCCAGUAGCCUCAAGACGCAGGCGCCGCACGUCACUGUCUGGCCGCACGCACAGCCUGCCCCCACGUACCUGAGGGCCGCACCUCCACCGACACCUCCUCCUUAAUCGUGCCGACCGUCCACCUGCAGGGCCCCGGCGGGAACAGGCCGUGCGAGAUGAUAUCGCCAAAGGUGGGCACGGUGCGGUUGUAAACGCGCUUGCCGUCCUUGCCCACCACGCCACCCGAGCGGGCGGGCCCGGCGGAUCUGCAGGGCACAGGCACACAGGCACACAAAUUCACGGUGAGUCAGGGCCGCGGUAUCCAUCCUCCAGACAGCAGGCUGCAGACAGCCCUACCACAACGACCGCGUGGCCCAAGAUUUGUGUCCGACGUCCUUUGCCGCGGGGCGCAUGCGAGGCUGCCGAGCACGUGCGAGGGCAUGCGGGCAGGCAAAGGGAGCAGGUAAUAGUAGGUUGGGAUGAUACCGUGGCGCGCCACACUUACUUGGGGCUGUCACGCAGCGACGCCGCGGAGGCCGAUGCCUUGAGGCCGCCCUGCGAAGCCCGCAAACAGGAAGCGUCUCAGGAGGCGCGCGGGGCCAGCAAGCGCUGUCACCAACACAGUGUGAAGCAGACGGGUCAGCAGGCUGGCUAGCAAGGCCCCGCCUCUUACCCGUGACAGCCCAGCGCCCGCAUCCUCGGCCGCCCGCCCGGCCAGCGCUCGGCCUGCACCGUCCGUAGAGCCACCAGCGCCGCCGCCCGGUCCCAGAGCCAGCGCCGCAAGCGCGCGUGCAGGCCCGCUGCUGCUGUUGCGCCCGCCGCCCGCCGCCGCCUGGUCGACGCCAUCCUCAUCCCCGCCGCCCGCCAUGCCGCCCGCGGCCUCGUGCGAGCACGCGGCGGUCGACCACUCCGGGCCCCAGCCCGCCGCCGACACCGACCCUGCGCCACCACUGCUGGGUCCCACCUCCGCGGCGCCCGAGCCGUGCGGGCCCAUGGAUGACAGACCCGGACUGGGCGUGGCGCUGGGAAUGCUGCCAGUGGGUGGGCGGCUGCCAUUUGCGGCGAUGGUGCCAGUGCCUGGGCGACUGCUGGCGGCGGCUGCGCCGGGGGCCGCUCCUAGCGCCGCCACGCCUGGGCCCAGCCAGCCGCUGCUGCUGGGCCCCCCGGCGGCCGGUAUGGCACCAAACACAGUCCCGGCGCCGGCUGCUGCGCUGUAGUUGCCGCUGCCUGUGCAGCUGCCAUCGCCGGCACCGCCGCCCAGCAGCUGCGGGUGCACGUACCCACCGCCGCUCGGGCCCACGCCCAGCGUGUAGAUGGGAAGCGACCCGCUGCCAACAGCGCGGCCGCCAUUGCCACCGCCGUGGACGCCGUUUCCGUACUGCUGCUGUAGAUGCAGUUGCGGCGGCGGCAGCGCGCCCACGGGCAGCAGCUGUGGCAGCAUGGACGCCGACGAGGGGCCUCCCAUGGCAAGCGAUGAGGUGGAGCCGUGGCGGCGCGGGUCCGCAGGCGAGCGCGGCGGCGGCAUGCCGCUGCUGUUGGCGGCGCUGGCAGUGGCGCUGUUGCUAAUGAAGCCUGCGCCUGCGCCGGCAGCUGGUGCAAACACAGGUGUCGGCGCCGGGCCCGGCGCCAUCGGAAGAAGGACAACGGGAGCAGGGCCAGCCAUGCCGCCGCCGGCUGCCGCGUUGGAUGGCGGGCGCGGGCCGCCAGCCAUGGCCAUGGGCACUGCCGUUCCAUCGCGUUGAUGUAGGGGCUGUAGCGGCUGCUGCAGCGGCUGCUGCUGUUGCCCUUGGUGCAACACCUGACCUUGUUGCUGCUGCUGCUCCUGCUGCUGCUGCUGCUGCUGCUGCUGCUGCUGUGCCUUGGCCUGGGGCGCCAGGUUUGGCGGCCGGCCCCGGCCGUGAUGGCCGUCGUCCUCCUGUGGACCGCAGGGCCAGGACGCAGCACCAGAAAACCGGACACUCGAGUCAGAUCUAUCGAUUAAUGGUAUCAUGACGUUACAAGCCGCCGCCGGCUGGACCCAGCAGCAGCACAAGGCCAUAGCGCUGCCUAACACUACGGUAUUGGGGCGCUGCACUGCCCCGUCCGGCCCGCCCUCCACAGCCUGUAGCGCGCCCGCCCUUUCCCCCAACGCCCAGCCCAACCCAGCGCAGCCAACCACAGACCACCUGUCCCUGCCCUCCGCACCCGCUCCACGACCCUACACACCCCAGGCAGCUUGAAGAGUUGCACUGCAGCCCGGCGCGCUUUGGGUUUGGUAAAAGUGGCCACCUCCGCGCCCCUCUGCACUCACCUGAUGGGCGUCAGCCAGGAGGUCUCUCAUUAGCUCGUCCGCCGCGUCCAGCUGCUCGUCCAACAAGCCGUACAGAAGCUCGUUGUCGGCCAGAUCCAAAUCAGGAUCCAGGGCGUCCGCCGCGACGGGCACGCUGCUGGCGCCGGGUGUCGGCAGGUGCAGCCGCUGCGCGUGCUCCGAGGCCUGCUGUUGCUGCUGUUGCUGUUGCUGCUGGUGUUGCUGGUACUGUGGCAGCAACUGCAUAUUGUUUUGCAGUGGCGGCUGCAUCUGCUGGUGCGGCUGGUGCUGCGCUUGCAUUAGCGGGCUGUGCAGGUUGGGCGGUUGCUGCAUCUGCAUUUGCUGCUGGCGCGGUUGCUGCGGGUAGGCCUGGUGCUGCAUCUGCGUCACCUGCCCGCGCACCGUGGCGCUGCCGUGUUGCGGCUCUAGUGUCAAGCUUUCGCUGUGGCUGCUUAACUGGUGGUGCGCGUGACGCAGGUGCGGGUGCUGGUGGUUGUGGUGCUGCGCCUGCUGCGGGUUCCACUGCUGUGUGCCGGGCGGCGGCGCCACCUGAGAGAUGCGAUACAGCGGCGCCGACUGGGCCUCUGUUGGCACGGGUCCCUGGCCCAUGAGCAGUUGCGGUUGCUGCUGCUGCUGCUGCAACAGCUGCAUUGACGGGUGGGACUGCUGGUGCUGGUGUUGUGAGAAGGCGUUCGUGGGCUUGCCGCACGACUGGUCGAAGCCAGUCUGCAGCCCCUGUCCGGCCGCAGGGCCAUACAUACUCCCCUGCUGUUGCUGUUGUUGUUGCAUCUGGCGCUGCUGCUGUUGUUGCGCCGCCAGCAUCUGCACCGUGUCCAGGAGCCCACCGCCGCCCAUUCGCCCGGCUGACGCCGUGGGGGCGCCGUUAACGCCACCGCCGCCCGCAACGGCGCCGCUGUUGCUGCCGCGACCGGCGGCAAGUGCUGGAUCCAGCACAGGCAGCGGCGAGGAGUAGUAGCGCCGCAUGCCGUUGUCCGACUCACGUCUCGACAUCUUAGACGGGCCGCCCAUCAGAGGCGGGUCAAGCUCCGAGUAAGCUCCAGGCACAGCCUCGAAACCCAGCCCCGACAUGCCGCCAGCCGGGUCAAGCGAGCCACCUCCGAACCCUGCGGCCGAGGAGGCCCUGACGCCACCGCCACCACCGCCUGCAAUGCUCCCGCUGCCGCCGGCCCACCUGGCUCCGCCGCCGUUGCUGGCCGCCGCCGCGGCCGCGGCGGCCGUCACCGCAGUGGCCUGAUCGUCGAGAUCUCCUAGCAGCAGGUCUAUCUCGUCAUGAUAGGCGCGAGUCUCACACACCUUAAACAGCGACCGAGUACUGCUGGACGCUAUGCGCAUGUCUUCAUGGACGGUGCCGCCACCGCCGCCUCCAGCUGCGCCGCCUGCUCCGGUGCUGCCGCUUGCUGCUUGGUAUGUUUGCAGCAUGCGAGCCGCGGCCGCCGGCCCGCCCCCGCCGUUGUUGCCGGAGCCGAAGGAGGCUGUCUGGCCUGGGCUUGGCAGCUGUAGCGGCCUAGCAGCAGCAUCUAGACUGACACCAUGCAUUUGCUGCAUCGACGCCGGGCGACUGGAUGGCUGCUGCUGAUAUUGCUGGUGAAGUGGGCUUGGCAGGUUAUGCCAGGAGCCGACCCUGCCGCGCCCGGCGCUGUUGCCAGAUGCAGAAGCUGCAGCGGCCUGCACCAUGUGCGCAUUCGUAGCCUGCGCAUUCUGCGAUGCGUGCUGGCCCUCACGCUGCCCAGGCAACGACAGGCGCUGGAGUGCGCUGCCGGCUGGCCCCUGGAACUGCUGCUGCAGCGACUGCCCCAAGUGACCGGGCAAGGCCUGGCCAUGCCUAGCCCCGGGCGCGUCGAGCGUCGAGAGGCCGCUGAAGUGCGCCUCUAGCUCGAAGCCGCCAGGGCCCACCUGCUGGUGUUGCAGCUGCUGCGAAGGCGGCAGGCGAGAGAGCGCACCCUGCAUACCUCCUGCACCCAAGCCGCCGCCCGGACCCGCGAGACCGACGUUGUCAGCAGGCCACGGGAGGGACGUCAUGGAUACUGGUCGCUCCGCGCCGCCGGCAUAGCCCUGCUGGUGCUGGUGCUGCGGCGUAAACUGCUGCUGUUGUUGUUGUAGCAGCUGCUUCGGUUGCUGGUGCUGGUAUGGCUGCAUGAGGCUCAGCUGCUGUAUGCUGCCGCUGCCACUGCGCCGGGCCAGCUGAAGGUGCUGGUGGUGGUCCUGGUGCCCUCCAUCCCGCAGCUCGUACAGCGGCUGUUGCGGGUCCAGCGACAGCGGCGGCUCCACGUAGGGGAGCUGCUGGGCAGAGGCCGCGCGCGCGCUCAUUGUCAGCGUUGUGUCCGCGCUGAUAGGAAUCCGCCCUGGCCCCAAGCCAAAGCCUGCUGAUCCCAGGUGCGGCAAGCUGCCGCCAUGCAGGCUGCCAUCGUACGCUGCUGAAGGCGAAGCGCCGGGCGCGGGUGAAGCUUGAAGCUUGCGUUUGCCAGCCGUGCCGCCGAGGCCGCCAGACCCAGCACUGCUCAGCAGCCCCGAGCUGUGCCGCUGGAACCGAGCUACGGAGCCCACGCCACCUGCCCCUGGUGCAUCCAGCGACAAAGGAGCCGGCUCGAGACCCGACGUGCUGCGACCCUGGUUGAGCGACGUUGCAGAAAAUGAGUUUGGCGACGCCAGCUGUGGUACGAAGUUGCCUUCUGAGUUAGGCGCUCUGCCCAACAUCACAGUAGGUCGUUCUUGCAUGCCAGCGUUGCAGCGCGCUGGAAAGCGCAAGCGAAAGGCAGAACGUCGUUCACGGCUUCAUCCCUGCGCUUGAUUUCCUACUCCGCCGCUCCGGAGCAGCAUUAGCUGUACAUGUUGUGAGCUUAGGUCAAACCGUGCCUCAUAUGCACUCUGGCGCACAAACAGUAGCGUGUCAAGAUGGCCGAAGGUUAUGGUCCUUUAGCCGAGCGCCAUCAACAGAAGAGGCCCUAAAACUGUAUCUGUGCUCAGUCCAGAAGCUUGCGGCUGAGUGAUUAUCAACACGGAGCCAGACUGCGGAGUGUAUGACACCGAAUGAGCAUCUCGUCUUCGAGCCCGGUUUUAUAUAUAGUAAGGUUCACAGUUUUUCUGUUGAUGUAGGGACUCAGACGAUGCGGUGCUCUGGCCAGGGCGUCUGCUGACACGCUGCGUCAAUUCUGAGCGACAUACACAAUGAUUUUUGACAAAACUUGUACCCACUGAGCAUGGAAAUGCAGUGCAUGGUGGUGAUGCUACUACACACCACCGUUGUCAGCGCGAGUUGUUGUCCUCGUCUUAUCUUGUCUUGUCUUCCCAAAGGUCCGCCUGCCCCUCACAAGUACUUCCUCUUAUUUAGCAUACAGCUUAAUGCAGGCAAUUACUUGGGCAGCGGUGGUACACAUUUUUGUGGCGGUUAGGUUGUCGAACCCUUGCGGGCCAUGAGAACAGCUUGGCAAGAGGAACUCCAGUGCAGUGCCGGUUCGGCAAGGCAUGGGAAAUUGUAAGCUAUCUGUAACUUGACGAUGCGGCGUGGGGUGUGCGUGGAAGGCGGGGAUCCUAUGAAAUCCCCACGCGCCAUCGUUCCCUGUUGUUCAGUGUCGUGUGAGUAUCAAGGGCUUGUGUGCAGGCUCCAGGUCGGCUGUAGCGUAAAUGGGAGCCAUUCAAUUCUGAAUGUGCAUGAUGAAGUGUUUGACAACCCGUGAAGGACUCGAGCGAUGUAGAUACACACUCCAUCCUUCUAGUAUGGGCUCAAUCAAGCACCGCACGUGACAGGUUGCAUUCCGCACGGUCCAGUCUGUGUAUUGGGUACGCCUGCAUCAUGGUUGGCUACACUUCCCCAAGCGGCCACGCCCCCAGCCCCCCACCAACUACGCACCUGUCAUGGUGAGGGCUUUGAUGCAGUGCUUACAGAUGCGAGUGGGGAGGAGCUCCAGGCCCGACUCACCGCAAGCGCUAGCGCUGCUUACGUAAGCUGUGGGUCGGCGUCAUAAGACUACCUCUUGCGAGUCCCUAAGCUGACAAGCUAGGGUGAGGCCGGUGGCGAGUCCACUGCUGGCCCCACAAGGAUAACCCCUCCAACAUCACCUGACGCUAGGAAUGGGUGCUGGUUCGGGACUAAGUCCCAGCGGCGCGGAGGCCGACGCAGACUCACGAACGCAGCUAGCCGCGAACAGAAGUCCGCAAUCACCUCCACAGUCCACACCGAUCCUUCGUACAACAGCAACCUCCGCGGUCCGGUGCGAGGCAUCACAGCAAGCGUAAAGCAGUGCUCGUAUCUUCCAUCUACACUGUAGAAAUGUGCCCAAAAUCCGCCGAAGGCGGGUAAAAAUGUUUGGGUUUGGGUGCCGCGCAUCUACGCAGGUGUAGACGUUUUUGGCCGGUUUUGGCGCAAAAAUGGGGGAAGCGUAGACGUUUUGGGGGGCUUGGGGGCUUAAGUGUAGAUGCCGCGGUCAGGGUCAUCUACGCAUGUGUAGAUGCCGGGUGUUUGAGGGCAUCUACAAGAUACGAGCACUGGCGUAAAGGCGCUGUCGGCAGUACUCCAGUGCCGCCACGGCAGCCAAGCACACGAUGCCCCCGCGGCCGCUGUUCCUGGGCCGCCGCCGCCCCCGCGACGGCCGGCCCCAUCGCACGCCGCGCACCCACAGGAGUAUUUGUUGCGAGCGUGCGCGGCGGUGGUCAUCCCAUCCCCUCCCCACCCCUGGAGAUGAUGACACCGGCACUACCGGCCGAUCUGGGGGUGUAGUUCAUACGCAUGGGGCACUUACGCAUGCAUGCAUGCAUGCCAUUGCAUCCCCCACCCGGCCGGCGUUAGUUGCUACCCGGUGCAGCCGCCGGUUUUGUUCGACGGGUGUGAGGAACCGCAAUGCGGUCCGCCCCGUCGGUUGUCCUGUUCUGUCCUGUUGGGGGUUUUGUUUUGGUGCCUUGCUGCGUGUUACCUGCAUCCCGGCAUCCGUCUUGCCCGCGUCGCUGUCCCCUGUCGCGGGGCCCCGCGUACCACACUGCAUUCGUGCCCACGUACCACACUGCAGCCACGCCCACGUACCUCACUGCAUCAUCCAUGCCCACGGGGCCCAUGCCACAUGCAGUACCGCCGGGAUGAGCCGUGCAGCCAUCGCGCUGUCAUCACUAUUCCGCGGCCUCCGGUUUCCAGUACUUGCAUUGCCACACGCAUUAAACCCUCGCCAUUGUCAUACUUGGCUUCCACUCCGCCUCCAUAGUUCCGUUCCAGCCCGCGCCAGCCCCAACCGCAGCGACAGCCGCCCGCCCAGCCCGCGGUUACUUGAGUGCUGUGCUGUUUUCUUUGCUGUCUGGCCCCGUGGCCCGCUGCUUUCUUCCGUUUUCUUACGCUUCCAUUCACUCCCUCCCUCACAUGUGCUGCUGGACGACGGUGGCGCUGGUGCUUCCAGGUUGGUUUCGGAUGCCGCGCGCCCCGCAGCUCCGCUCCGCGCCAGCCCGCCAGCCGUCCGACAGCCUAGCCAUCGCAACCUGGUUAUAUCAGUGAUGGGUCGGCGGCGCUCCUCCAUUGCCCGCCGUGGCGUUUACCGCACGCGUUUACCGUCUGGAUGAGGUAACAUGUCUGCUGUCACUGCGUCUUGCUAACCGGCCUUCUAUGCGUGCUAGCGACUACAAUGUCUCUUGGUGUCAUGCAUAUUCGCGUUCGCGUUUCGAAAGCACUUCGCUAACACGAUGUCCCACACCGCCUUCGAUAGCCCUGGUGGCGCCCGUACCAACCACAACUGUGCCGUGCGAUGUCCACAUUCGCAUGCUCCCGCAACACAUCAUGCAGAGCCUUCGCCACUACACAGUCCCAGAAGUGGUGAACCUUAGCGCCAGCAGUCAUCUGAGUCCCACACGGGCAUUUCUCCGCACGCCCAUCCGCGGCCAAUGCCGCAAGCAUCCCAAAGCCCGUUACUCCAUUGACUGCCAGGCGCCAGAGCGGUUCCUUGUGUCGCGGCUCCCACACCAGAGCCCACAGCCGUGCCAGGGCCCCGCGUAGCGCAUGAAUCGCUUCCGUCGGCGGCGCGGCGCCGCUGUAGGCCUCUAUCUUGGACGCAAGCCAAGUGGCGCAUGCACGCGUAGGGCGUCGUAUGCAGGCGCGAGCAGAAGCUGGGUUGCCAGCUUCACCGUGAGGGUCAGAAGCGGCACUUCAGCCGCGCCCUGCCGCCACCCCAGGCUUUGCGAAAUUAGCAGCCAUACCUGGGGGGCAGGACGCGCGGAGGCCGCGCCGCCAGGUGCAUGCAGUGUGGCCGACGCCGCCACCCGCCACGCCGCCGGCACACGGGCCAGCCGCGUGGAGAUUUGGGCAGCCGCGUUCGGGCCGGACUGCAGCUCCGGCGGCACGCGCCACACAUUCGUAAUGCGCAGGAUGGGGCGCAGUACGGAUAUGGCCAUCCGUGGCUCUCGCCAAUGCGGCGUCCCCGCUCAAGACGGCGUAAGAGGGCUAGCGCCAGGGCUAGCGCUAAGACAGGAUUAACCUAUCGAGCUCCUCACAUCACGGACCUAGGCCGGACGGCUGGGGAGGACAAGACAAGUGCCUGCCCUCCAGACCCUGCAACCAGGGGAGGACCUCCCCUGCCUGCAACACCAGCACGCGGAUGGGGGCGACAGGCGCGGGGCCCGCCGACAGGCAGCGGUGAUGUGCCACAAUGCUUUUGAAGCGAAUUGCUACACGUAUAUAUCAACACAGUGCUAAUAGUGCAGAUAGCUAGGCCACCCUAGAACCCGUGCCUAGCCUAGAACCAUAUUCUAUUACUUUUUGACAGGCAGGCAACGAAUGGUGGCACGAAAAAGCUUCUUCAUACUUCACUAAUUAUCCGCACAAAUAUUUCACCCAUUCCAGCAAGUCUCUGUAAGGGCUGUGCUUUUCGCGCCAUCGGGCAGCACCUUGAAGCUGUAUUGAAGAUAGGGUAGCAGGCUGGAGCGAGCAGGUGUACGUUGAGCACGCAGCUGAUAGGCACGUUAUAAGUUUAGGGCGCCAGGUUUCUAUGGCUAGUGAGCGGCCUGCCAAGCGCUCGCGGCCAUCAGAGCACGAGACUCAAAGCCCGCGCAGUGGCUUUGUCCCUGCGGGUGGCCACGACAAGCUUCCCACAGUUGCAGCUGGAGUCGUAAGCGCUACCGGCGUCACUGGGCUCGCAGGCACAGCACAGGCUCCACAGCAUGGCUUACAGUCCGCUGGGGGCGGAGCCGCGCAACCCAGCACCGGCACCCUUGUUUUGAAUGGGAUUAGUGCAUCCCGAGGCACCUCACAAGGUCCGGCUCAGCACGCCCCAAGCAAGGGCGCGCCUGCUCCGCAACAGCCGCAGCUGCAGCCGCAGCCGCAGCCGCAGCCGCAGCCGCAGCCGCAGCCGCAGCCGCAGCCGCAACCAGCGCCCGGGAGCCUGCAGUGGCUGCUUCAGCGGCAACAGCAGCUACAUGCGGUGGCCACGGUACUUGCGCCCAUCCCAGACUGGGCGCAGGCGGCACUGGAUGGAUUGGACGCGUUCUGGGUGCCCACGGUACGUGCCCGUGCCGUGCACGGUGACAGGCCCAUGCCGCAUGUCGUGACCGCCGCAUCCCUAAGCUUGGCUGUGGAGUUGCGAGGCCUGUAUCUAGCUGCCUCUGACGUUGUCGUGUGCUGCUGCUGGGCGCAGUCGACGCUCGCAGUGCUGGUUACGCAGCCCUCGGGUGAGGCUGCGGGGGCUGCAGGACCGGGAGUUACGGGGAUCUGUACAGGAAACGGCUGGGGUGCCCGUCUCCGUGGCAUAGGAGCUGGGGUUUUUGAGCUGGCAAUGGAAUGGCGUGGGGCGCCGCGAGCCAGCAAGGCCGCCACAGGAGUGCGGGCGCCGCGGCGACAGCAGGCAUGGCAUGUCAAUGCCCAGCGCCGUGUUACACAGUGCUGGGCAUCCGCGCGCUCGCACCGCAGGCCCCUGUCCCGGCUCCCACGGGCAGCUGCAGUGUGCCAGCGCGCUGUUCACGGUGUCGCCCGCGGCUCUUGCGGACAUCAGCGAGCGCCGCGCGCAGGUGCGUGUAUACGAAGGUGCCAACAGUGUGUGUGUGUGGGGGGGGCGUGUGUAGGCGCGUGUGCACGUUUGCCCCGGAUCGCCGGGCUGUGUGGAUAACGUGUCAAUGCAUGGCGGAUAAGAGUGUGAUGAGUCCGCGACCUGGCGCUUCCUGGUCGACCAUGUUGCCAUGACUGUGGCCUGCAGGCGCGGCUGGUGUGCGUGCAGCCUGUCGACAGCUUGGCGGCAGGGGUGAAGGCGGCAGGACCAGGUACGUCGGCGGACGGGUUCGUCGCGCCGGCGGCAGGCGUGUCUGCGCCGAGGCGCCGGAUCCACAUGUACGGCGGCAGUCACGUCGUACUCAACGGCCGGUCGUACGAGGUGACCAAAGAGGACCGCGUGGACUUGUUCCUGGAGCCCAACCAGGUGGGGCCCUAGGCGCUUCCGGUGAUCGACAAUUAUGUUGUGCAGUGCGAGGGCCUUUGCAAGGCUGCUGUGAUGGCGACACGACUGUGGAUACAGCGGCUGUCAAAUGCAAUCAGGCCAACACCCAAACCUUCCCAGAUCACGCUGCAGGACUCCACACACACCGCGUGUGCACCUAAACCGUUUCCCACCACCCCCUGGCCCCCGCUUGCUCCGGCCCCCAUGCGCAGGCCGACCAGGCUGUGGACCUGUCGUCGGGGCUACGCGCUGGCGUGAACCACCUGUCCUUGUUCUGGCCAGUUGGCGUUGCAGGGGCGGUGGCGGUGCUGCGGCUCUGCCGCGGCCCGCUGACGGCACAGGUGGGGCCUGCUGGGUUGCUGUACGAUCCCACAUGAGUGGACGGUUGUUGUAGCUUACCCAGGCUGUGGCUACAUCGGGUGCGCGCGUCGGCGGUGGCCAGCUCCGCAAUUGUGUGCAAUAUGGCUUGCGAUGCGCACAGGAGGUGCUGGCGGGCUCUGGGCCCAGCCGCCUGGCGCCGCCGCUGCCGCUGCCGGAGCUGAUGCAGCACCUGCGGGCUCGCCUUGCACCGCUGGACAUGGAGCCGGACGAGGGAGAGGAGCCGGAGCAGCGCAGGGAGGAUGAGAAGAAGGCAACACAGGAGACGGAGGCGGAGCAGGCUGCAGGGCAGGAACCCGGACACGUCGCUGCUGGGCCUGGUCAAGGGCAGCAGGCCGGGCCACAAGCCCCGAACUCCGCUUCACCAGGCUCGGCCACCGCCGCCACCACCGCCACCAAUGCCGCAACCACCACGGUGGCAGCUGACACAAACGGCCUGGUCUCCAUCUCGCUGCGCUGCCCGCUCAGCGGCGGCGUGGUGGCCUGCCCUGGUCAUCUGGGCGCCACUGCCGCCGCCCGCCCGCUGGCCUUCUUCGACCUGCACGUGUUCCUGGAGCAGGCCCGAGCCACCGGCUCCUGGGCAUGCCCCGCCACCGGGACGCUGGGCAGCAUACACGACCUGCGGGUGGGUGCGGUAGCAGCCGGAGUAGGAUGCGUUGCCUUGCUGCCAACCCAUACCUGUGAUCUAACCAAUCCGUUCGCCAUGAACUGUAGUCAUACUUUUGUCUUUCCCUGCCCGCGCGGAGAAUCAAGUAGUAUGAGCUUGUAGCGGACCGUACCUUACCCCCGCUCCUCCCGCUGCUACCUCCACCUGCUCCUACUCUGCACUCUACGCUUGCCGUCAAGCCCUUGCUAAUCUGCUCACCCUGCUUUCCUCCGCUGCGUCCCCCCGCUCCGCCCAGCCGCAUGCCUACCUGAAAGAGGUGGUGCGCACGCUGGACGCCAACGGGGUGCCGCGCGGCAAGGUGGAGGCCAUCGACGUGCUGCCCUGCGGCCGCUGGCGGCCCCGAGACAGCCGCGUGCCCUUCUUGGAGGUGCCCCUGCCGCCGCCCGCCACCGCUGCGGCUGCCACGUCUGCUAGAGGUGGGGGCGGCGCCAUUGCAGGUGGGUCCACUCAGCAGCAGCAAGGGCACGAGCAGCUGCCACCGCCACCGAGGUUUGACGUGCAACUGCUUGACCCGGCGGAGGAGGAGAGCAGGGACGUGGUGGACCUGACGGAUGACUGAGCCGUUGCAUGCAGGAUUUCGCGUGUGGUCGUGGUGCAAUGCCGUCUUUCGUUGUCGGUUGGUUCCAGGGAUGAAUCGUGCCUGACCCUCGGAAGCAAUCUGGCAGUGCCGGUGCAACUUGCAACAUAGAGCGUGACUGUAGCUGAUAUAGAAGGCGGAAUUUAUGUCUGGUUGCCGCUGCCACACGAUCCAGUCGUGAAAAGGUUCCUGCGAAUUAGUAUUAGCAGUUGUUCCCAACUUGCAGCAGAUUGCAUCCCUUGACUACUUUGAAUUGAUGACCGACAACCACUAAUAUUUGACGGCUAUGGUGACGUUGAGCAAUGGCGAUGGCGUGAUCGUGUAUACGGUAUGGGCUUGCUGUUUGUGCGCUGCCCAUGCACCUAUCUCGUGCGCUGGCCCUGCGUGCGCCGUCCGGUCACCAUCGCAACACAGUACUCCAGCUUCCAGCUGCAACUGUACACCUCAACAAUCCGCACUCCUUUCAUAAGCGCCCCAUUAAUAUUACACGCCCCAGGCAGUGAGCAACUCCCGGGCCAAGUCAGGAAUCGUUCAGAACGUUCCCAAAGCGUCCAGCUACAGGACCCACCAGCGACUCAGAAACCUACGCGGUGAUCUCCUCGCAUGGGAUCUCACACUGGAUCAAUAUACCUGAACUACCGAGAUAACGCAAUCCUACCGAUCUACCUAUCCACUGGCAGCGCGCUCGUACCGCCCGCCUCUCGGCGCCACUUGUGCCGCAUCCACCCUGCCACGGCUGCAGCCAGUGAGUCUGAUGUUGUCAAGCUAUUAGGGUACGCGACCGCCAUCAAGCAGUGACAGAAGAUGCAGCCCAGACAAUUGAAUGCCACACCCAGCAUAUGGGCAUGCUGGGACAGCUUCCUGAGCCGUUCCCACGCACACAGAGCACAUACCGCACCAGCACGCUGGCUUCGCAGCACCCGCACCCCGCGCCCGCGUCACCGGUAACGUCCCGCUGCUUAGGACAGCAGCUCCUCCUCCAGCUGCUUGUACUUGUCAGCCAGCGCCGACUUGCGGGCCGCGUCCUCGCGCGCCUCACGGCGAGCCAUGUCAGCGUAGUACUGGGCGAUGUACCGCUUCUCGUUCCAGUGCCACGUCUACAGCCAGGAACAGCAGCAAUGGGCGCCUGUUGUCAGUCCAUGUAACAAUCAACGCCCGGCACCGGCCUCCUUGCGCCCGCUGGCUCGCUGAUGCCCCUAUUCCGGGACCAGCUUGAGCGCCUCCGCUCGCAACCGCUGGGGCCGCCAAGGCCCCACCGAGCCCGGAUACAGCACCACCAGCUUAUACCGCAGCGCUGCCCACACACCUUCCAGGCGAAGCUGAGACCCAGGCCGACGGUCAUGGCAAUAGCGACGUGCUUCGCGAAGCCAAAGUGCUUGGAAGCUCCCUCGCCAUAUUUAAAGUACUCGCUAGGCGCAUAGACAGCCUUGCUUGCGGCGGUGGCGGGAGCCUGGGACAUUUUGCCUCAGUGUGAAAAACCCGGAAGUGUUUAAGGGAUUGCUUUGCUGCCUAUGAGACCUGUGUAGCGCGACAGACUCAAUGCCACUUCCACUAGAGCAGUUUGGGGGCUAUGUUCAACCGAAUGGGGUCUAUCUCUGCAAGAACACAAUUGGCACGCCCGGUCUCUGAAUUACUUCAGCAGCAGCUGCCAUGUUGUGUUUGAACAGGCAAGAACACUUAUACGCCGCAAGCGGGAAUGUCCAGAGCGGCAGCAACACCAGCUGAACGCCACGCUGAAGGCAUAGAUAAUGUGCAUACUCUGCAUCAAACAGUGUCAAUCACUUUGCAAGUCCCUGUAUGUCCAUACCCUCCUGUCCACAUAUCUCUAAAAUGUCUGAAAUCGUUGUUCCAAACGAGGCUGGGCUGCAGCACAAACUGGCCGAAGCCAUUAGGGCUAUUGACAGCCGCGCAACGGACGAGCCGCAGUCCAUCGCCACAGGGAUAUCGCGCUCAGUGGCGCAAGCAUUCGCUGAUAAGGUCGAGCGGAAGGGAUUCCAAUACAGCGGCGACGAGGCCUGCAGCGAUUUGACUUUCUUCCGCGACCCCUCUGGGCCCCACGAGACAGCGGCGGAGUACCUGGUGCAGCCCUUGAUAAACUGGUUGCAGCCAUGGAGCACGUGUGAGUUCGCGACCCGGGAGCAGCAACACUGACUCGUGACUGACUGCAGUGCAUCGCGUUGCUGUUGCCUUGCAGUCAGCAAGUUGCUGCGGCUUGGCGGCAGCCGGACAACACACUUGCCUGGGAUUGUUGCGGAGCCGGAUCAGUGCUUGCGCGUGCGUAGAAACCCGCCGCACAUUAUCGUCGAGGUCGCGUACCGGCAAUCGCGCCCCAGGUUGUUUGAGGCCAUGUCCCGGUGGCCUGCACCUGGUCUGUGUUCCGGGCCGGCUCGGCUGGUCUUCGGCGUUGACGUGCAGUACCCGCCGCCUGCUGGAGUCCCCCCGCGCAUAGACAUCUUCAUGGAGCGCCCGGGACAGCAGCAGCCAGAAGUUGUUGUCGCUUGCGGUGCGGGGAGCGGAUGCAUUGCGCCGGCUCUGCGGGAGUACACCAUCUUCCUGCCCCUUCACGACGUGCACUUCGGUGUUUCGUGGCUCACACGCACCGCCAUCAGCAUCCAGCUGGCUGUGACGGUGCCGCUGUACAGUAUGUAUGGGUGCCCGUACGCCGUGUGGGAUGUGCUGAGCGGCAGGCGCAGCGUGUGGCAGCUGGUCAAGGCUUGCGUACGGUCCAUGGGUGGACCGUGGUGGGGCGUGGUGCCUCUUGACACCUUCGAAGUGCGGCAGGAGGUGUUCAUGGAGUUGAACUGGUGCCACCAGGUGCGCAACCUGUGCUGACCUGGGUGCGGCUGAUCUCUCUGGUGAUUACUACGUAUCUAUUCAGUCAUCAAGGGAAUUCACCCUCAGCGUGAUGCAGCAUCCAUGAUAAAUGCGACUGCAUCUCGGCCUGAAGGCUGGUGGCUAUAACGUUGGUGGCGUUGCAUUGGGGUGCGGAGCUAGAGUGGAUGGAAAGCGGCCAUGGAGGCUGGUCAUGAGUGAUGUGUGGCACUCACGAUGACGGCACACAUAAGAAGGUGCAUGGAGUUGCAGUAGGGUGACAUUGCAGGGGCCGGCCGCAGCAACGCCUCCAUCUGAUGGGGGCCGUCUUCAGUUUCGCGCGGUGACUGCAUGACUUAGUGUGUGCACGUAAUGAGUGGGGAAGCGGCAGUGAGAGGUAGGUAGGCAAAUUCAAUGAUGAGACGCUGUUUAAAAGCAGACUUCGAUCCCUGUGCCAACCCGCAAAACCACCGUGGUGGGAAAAGCUACCCGCCGGUCGAUCAAUAGUAAUGCUUAUACACAGCAGGCAGGAGACUGCCCCGUGUCCCUGCGAUCCAUGACGCUCCUUGGAGAGAGUGCGUGCGGGACGCUGAGAGAACACCACGGCAGGGUGUGAGGCAGGGUCCGAUGGCCGCGCGCGGUUAGUUGAGACUGCUUGGGGGGCAUAGGAAGUCAAUGGGGGCCAGGAGCGCCAGCUAGCUAGCCCCUCCCGCUGGAGAGCAGCCUCGCUUGUAUACGUGCCCUAGCUGCCUUACUGGCCAUCCACGUCACUGGGCAUGUGGUGCCUCAUCAUCGGUAUGAGCCGUACGUGCACAUUACUCAUACGAUGCGGGCGUACGUGCCGCCCGCCCGCUGCAGGUGGCGUGUCACAGCCUCACAGGUCCGCAACAGGGCUACCGUGCGACUAUGCUUGCAUUCACAUCAUCCAUAUAAAUCAUAGCCACACAUGUUGCCUUACUGCUGCAUGUCGCCAUCGCCGCCACGCAUGCACGCAGGUCAGACCCCGCAGGUGUGCUGGAAUCGCGACCUGGGGGACUACGGAGGACAGCAGUUAUCCACUACUGGUGAGAUGCUAUGUAGCGGAUGUGCCAAGGGUGGCCUCGAGCCUCAUACGCUUGCACCACACGAUGUCAGCUAGCCCUACAUACACCAUAUAUGGGUGGGUCCAGUUGGUAAUGGGCAAGCAAGCUUGCUUUCGCGCGCACGCCAGCAGCCGGCGGCCCAGGACUCCCACGCACAUGUCGAUACAUAUGGAUGCUCGAGUGGAGGGCGCUAGCUGCUGGUGCCGCUAGCCGGUGCGUGGCUGGAUGUGGCGCCCAUACCUGCUUGCAAAUAUGACGUUGGACCUGCUCCUUGCAGACAUUGCCGACGGUUCAAUCUUGACCUCGGGGGGCGACAGCCUGGUCUGCUUUGAGAAAACCGGUCAGCGGCGCUGGCUGUUCCGGUUCAACCGCAAGACCGAGGUAGUGGCCGACAAUCAGACCUUCACCUACUCGGCACGCCAGGUGUGUGGCAAUCGAUGUCGUGUCCAUACGGCCGUCGCAUGCUUGACUCGCGGUAACAGGCUCGGUAGAUAGUGGACGGCCAGUAGUGAUGGUGGGAUGGACGCAUGCGGCCUUUGCUUGGGGAAACGAAGAAGUCAGCGGAACACCAACGUUGCGCAAGGCCUUGCUCGCAUGUGCGUGGCUAGCCGAAUGGACUGUAUCCUUGCAGGGGAGGGCAUGCAGUGCUUAUCACCCAGCCAGCAGCGAGUGGAUGGGGUCGCGGCGCCACGCCGCAAGUUUCUCUGCUUGCGCGUGGUACGAUUUGCUCUGUGUGCAUACGUGCCGCUGCCCCUGAUUUACUCAGGAUGGUGCCAGCCCCUUUAUCGCGGUAUCGAGCACCGGCCUUGUUUACCUGGCCGCCGCCGACGCAGUUCUGUAUGCGCUGGUGGGUAGUGUUAUGGGAUAUGAAGUCAGGCAAUGUCCGGGCAAGUCGGCAGGAGUGGGAGCAGGACGAAGAGGAAGAGGCAUGCAUGCAUGGAAGGGUGCGGCUUGGGAGCAGGACGGAAAGCAAGAGGCAUGCAUGCAUGGACGGGUGCAGCUUGGGUUGAAGGAGUAAUGCGUGGGUUUAAGUUUGACGGGUUGACCACCUCAUGCGUUCCAACAUGAUGCACCGUCCGCGUGCACCGCCGCACGCGCCGCACGUACAGGACGUGCGCACCGGCGACCUCGUGUGGCACUGGCGCGACAGCCCCUCCACAUUUGAGUCCAUCACGUACGGCGACGGCCGUGUCUACGUGUCCACAAGUGGGUUCAGGCGGUGGCUAGCUGGGGAACAGCUGGAUAGGCAAUGCCCCCGUGGAGCAAGUGCGGUGCGUGUGUGCCGGCUGGUAACGCAGCUGCUUGCCUGCUGCCAUGCACAUGUAUGGCGUGUGUAACCCAGUCCUGCUUGUGACCAUAUUUGCCUUAACCCCGACGGCCUGCCGUGCACGCAGCUGAUUUCAAGACAUAUGCCCUGGUGGGUGCCUGCUGUUGCUUUGCAUAUGGGCUGGUCGGUGUUGUUACCGACCAUACAUGCGACUCCCUGACUGACGCACGCAACUCGGCACUGUGAAUGAAUGCAAACUGACACCUGAAUCCUCAUGAUGUCGUGCGCUUGAAAUGCCCAACCUUGCAGGACGUGGUAACAGGGGAGGUUUUGUGGGGGACGCAGUUCCGGCGUGUGUCCUCCUGGACCACCGGCUGGUUCAAGGGCGUGUUUGUGCGCCCAGACGUGGACGGGUGAGUUGCGUCGCACUGUCGUGGAGGGCAGCCUCGUGCUCAGCUAUGGACUUCAAGCGGCACGAGGCAUUGCGCGCCUCACACCACGUGUUCCCUACAUGUCAGUUUUGAUGUGGGCCACGCACACCAUUGUCCAUCCAUCGGCCUUGGCCUGGCCAUGCCUGCCUACCUGUGCCGCCGGCUACUGUACGUGCAGGCGCGUGUGGGGCGUGGAUGCUGAAACGGGCGACCUCAUUUGGAUGUUCAACAUGGGUGCUGAGAUUCAAUACCGGUGGGACCCGGAACUGCACUUCCAUCCCUCGGGCAUUGGAUUCAUGAUGGCUCGGCCCUCCCAGAUCUGGGCAUACAACGUGACUUCGGGUGGGUAGUGGUAAUACGGCUGCUAGGCGCAUCGCGGGUGGACAAAGCAGGGUCAUUUGCGAACCGUGCGUGGCACACACGUUCAACACGAAGCGGUAGCGCCAGCGUGUGCAUGCGUGUGGUGGUUGGUGCUCGCCUGCCCGAGGCACGGGAAGGGGCUCGCUCGCUGUGUUGCGUAAGAAGCGGAGCUUGGCACGAACUGGACGGGUGCAAGGGCGGGCUAGGCGGUAAACGAUUGCUGAUGUGUGCGGGACGGCCGCACCGCGAUGUGAGGACAGGGCGGGCCCGCACGGCCCGCACAGACUGGCAGGAUCAACCGGUGCAGGCACGCGACUGCCAGACAUGAUCCCUCGGCAGCCGCUCUGCCGCAGUUACGAGUACGUUUGCCCCUGCGCUUACAUGUCGGCGGUCACAGGUGACGUCCUUUGGAAGAUGAAUGCCCGUGAGGGAUACAUGUGAGCACCCUGGCAGGCAUGGGGUAGCUAGAACAGAAGGACAGGUGCACCCACGACCACCACCUUGACACACCAGCUUGAUCGGAGCACAGCCGUGCCUCUGCCGUUGCCACCUUCAAGACCAAUAUCCUUUGUGACCCCGCAGGAGCCCUGACAAUGAUGGCGACAAUCGGCAGACGUUCGAGGUGUGGGGAGACCUGUGAGUUGCCAGCGGGUGGUACAUGCCGGCCGGGGAGCUGGCUGGGGUCCCCAGUGUGCUCUGCGUACGGCCAAGGAUGCAUUGUGUUUAGUGCACGUGAGAGUGUUUGUCCACUCUCGGAGUGCUGCUGUGAUUUCUGGGAUAGGCAGUUGGGACGGAGGCUCCGGGACUCCGCCGGUGUCAACCGCGGCUGACGGACACAGGGCACACAAGGUGCCAGGUGGCAGUGAAAACACGGCGUACCUUGGUUGUGCAGUAAUCGUGCCGUGUUCGUACAGCUUGCAUUGGCUAUGCCUCCUUGACGUGCACGUACUGCUGUUGCGCCCCACAACUAUCCAGGGUGAUCGCUCAAGAUGAGGGCGCCGUUGAAACCAACCCCAACAAGUACGGCAUCCUUCAGGUGCGACAGUUUACGGCACCGAUUGAACCCUGCAUUUAAAACAUUGGCAUGCUUUCAUCGUCGCCAAACCUUCUGAGCGGCUCUUGACUCAGUUUACGCAUUACUCACACGCCAGGCUCUGGACGUGUUCACUGGCGUGCGUGUGUGGAUCCGCGACGACGUCUACCCGGUGCGUGGCUGGCGUUCGUUCAAUGCAUGCAUGUGCGCGCGUGCACUCGCUGUCAGCUGCUGGCGUCACUAGCAGGCUGCGUGUGUCGGUAGUGAGUGUGAUGUCCUGGUGUGGUACGGAAUGCACGGCAACCACAUGCAUGGUUGUGCCAUGCCGCACAGGCGUACAUGCAUCAAUUACGGUGUCGAGUGUGUCACAUACAUGCUCAACCCAUGUAUGCAUGCUACUGGGAAUUUGUGCAUGCAUGUGCAGGGCAAGUACGGCAUGGUGGUCACCGAGGGGCUGCUGGUCUACACCACCUACAUACCGGAUAUGUCUACCCUGGACGUGUCUUCUUCGCUCCUGGUGAGGCACCUGUCCGGUAUGUAGCCAGUGAUGGUGCGAUCGACCGCAGCGAGCAGGGCAGCGGGCAGGGCAGCGAGCAGGGCAGCGACCAGGGCCGGCUUGCAUGGGGCGACGGUAGCGGUGGCGGCGGCGGCCAGCCAGUACCCACGCAGCGCGCCCGUGAGCAUUGUCGUGCGGUGCCACGGUGCCCGGUCCGCAACACAUGUAUCUCCUGCUCACCACAACGCACAUGACACGGGCACACAACGCCACACGCCACACGGCGCCACACAGAUCAGCGCCAUGGGACCCGACCACCAAGACGUCUGGAACUGGCAGCGCGAUGGCGCGAUACCCGCCGGCCAGAUCCAGGCGCUGGACGGGCUCGUGUUCGCGCUGCAAGGCGAGAUCGCCAACACCACCUUCAAUGGCUUGGGCUCGUCCACGGUGCUGGUGGCGCUGCCUGCCACGCCCAGCGUCAUUUGCCCGCCCGGUGAGCUCGUUCUCUCAGCUACCCACCCGUGUACUUCGCAAAGCAAGCUGAAUGCAUGGUGGGUCGGCACGAGACUUAUGGAGGGGUGCGGUAUCAGGAGCAGCUAUCGGCGACCCAUUGCAACAGCUUGCACCUGCAGAUGCUCAGCGUGGACAUGCUGCAUCGCGCGCGACCCUUUUAAUGUGUGCCGCUCGUUGUUUUCCCCGGCGCAGAUGUCAAGUCCCCGCCAAUCACUGUGAACAACAACCAGCAAGGGACCAACGCUGUAAUAGCUCCGCCGCCGCCGCCGUUCGUGAGCGGCAAGCCCUUCUGCUGGACGUGAGCUGCAAGGGUCGCCUGAGGUUGCAUGACGUAACGCAUCGGAACUCAUGCCAGGCAUAUUGUCUGAAGUGCCGUAUCCCAGACGGUUGCACGGGUGCCUGGCUGAGCGCUUGCUGGGAUCUCAGGUGUCAGGCGCAGGGCUGUGCACCUGGGUGCGACUACGCAAGUCAACCAUGCGCGACGCCGCACCUUGUUCCCUGCAGUCAUUCAUUCUCCUACAAGCCUCUGGGCAGCCCUACCUCUGACGGCGUGCGGGCGUACGGCCAGGACAACGCGGGGUUGGUCAUUGCAGUGAGUAUUGGCACCGUUUUUUCGGUCCCUGCGUACCUGCAACCCCCAAACAACAAACGUUCGGUUGCUUGUUGCAUCGUUGGAGUGCGCAGGACCCGAUUCCAGCACAUUUCUGGUAAGCAAGACGAGAUCUGCUCUCGCCCUCGCUAUGCAGGUGUACCUGGACACGGGGGCUAUUGCCUGGAAGGCCACUUGCGGGCCCGAUAGCAAUUCGUUAUACUACCCAUCCAACGUGGUUGUGGUGGACGGGGUGGUUUACCUGGGCUGCUCCAAUCUGGUGCGUUGAGCAAGAAACAUGCUGAGCGUGACGCGGCUAGUAUCUGUCCUAGUGCCACCCACCUGUGUCCGAAGGGGCAGGACGAAGAUUGGGGCACUGUUUGUUGCCGUGUGUCCUUACUUUAUACCACGCUAAAAAUGCUCCCCUCUCGUCACGCACGCCAGUGCAUUUGCCGUGCGUGCUUGUUGGCUGGGCUUAUUUGCUCUUCCCACAAGCGCUAGCUGCUUAUUCCACCCGCCAUACCGGCCUCACAGGACGUGCAAGCGCGGGACGCGGCCACCGGACACUUGCUGUGGCGGCGCCCAUUUCAGCUGACGCCCGACCGUGCGGCGUACAGGGGCGGGAUCAUAGGGAACCCCGCCGUGGCGAACGGCAAGAUAGUCAUAAGUAAACCCGACGGCUUUCUCCAAGCGCUCAACAUCACGAACGGUGCGGGAACAUUGUGUGUGCGCGCUUCAGCGAGUAAACCCAUGCGGUUGUGAGUGCCGUCGCGGGAGGCACACCAGGGCUUUGGCGCCAGCAUUGACUGUUGGCACACAGCAAGCUCUCAGGUGGAUGCAUGACCCGGCACGUCUUUACGGCUGCCACCACGUGCACACUGCGUUCGUGCCGUGCAGGCCAGCUCGUGUGGAGCUAUGAUACGGUACGAUCACUAGGGCUGCACACACCUGUGCCUUCCUUUGUCCCCAUAUCGCUGCGGUGAUCAGCCCUGCUCACAGCAGUUGUAAAAAGCGAACACCCGUUUCCUGUCUGCCUGGUCCUGACUGCAGGGCAUCCUUGCGGCUGACUCCGUGGGGAUCCGGGAUGGUGUUGCGUACGCCAUUGCACGUCACAACGCGGAGGUUCGUUACAGUACCAUCGUGGCUGUGGACCUAGACACCGGCAAGUGACGGGUUCGCGCGAGAGGAUGAUAGUGCUAUAGAUGAACUGGCCUGUGGCGGGGUGACGUGCGUGGCGCAUGCUUGCAUUUUGGGGAAAGGCAAAUAUGGCUGGCCGGCAAGGACGUGCCCUGUGAUGCAUGCCUCUGGCGUGAAUGCUAAGUGUGUCGCACUCAUGCGGCUGCUGUGGCGCCUACAUGGCAACACAUGCAUACAGGUGUCGAGGUGUUUGCCAAACCACUGGAGCCCAAGUGGGCCAUGGAACCCGGGCGUCUCAACUUCCGACACGACAACACCCUGGUCUACGCCACCUGGUGGCCGGACGCGCAGCUUCAGGCCACCACGUAAGCACGCAGCGCCCACCACAAGCCCCUCGCCUCCCUCCGUACUACAACUGCUUGCUGCUAUCACCCACUGCUGCCCAACAGGAUCGGCCGCGACGGUGGAGACCUUGCAUGGAACUACCCCAUCUCGGACAGCACCGGGUGCGGGUGUUUGCUCCGGCUGCUGCUCUGCGUGCAGGGGAAUCGGCGUCCUGCAAUUGUCCCAACUGAUCUUGGGAUUGGGGUUGCGGAUGGGGCAAGGCGGGCGGGGCAGGACUGGGCUGGGCUGGCCAGCACUCCUACCUGCUGUUGCCUAAAGCGCGUGCCCUCCGUGACUUGCUGCAGGGUCUACUCGGUGCUGGUCGUGUCGGGUGAGGACCUGGGCCUGCCCCAUGACGCGCUCUUCUACAACGACAACGAGGGCCUCGUCACCGCCCUGGCUCUGGGCAGCGAUGGGCCUACAGAAGUCAUGUGAGUUCACGAACGGUCUGUCCAGCUUGCCAGCUAGCAGCAACACGUGCCGGUGGCAGAUGGGCCUAACGCGCGCUCAUUGUGGCUAGCUAGCUGGCUAAGCUGCUGCGCUGCUGCUGGGGCCGGGCUCCUGGUGGCUGACCCGAAUCACCUGUGCUCAUGUGUUACAUGCUUGGCGGAGUGUCGGCGCGCUGCGAUAGACCAUGCACGCUGAUGCUUGCAUGCAGGUGGACGGUGGACUUGACCGACGCGAGGUUGUGGCCCGGGGUGGAGAACCUGCUCACACCUGGCCAGUCCGACUGGGCGCAGGUCGGUGUGGCCGGAGGCAAUCAAGGGGCGCAGGCUUGGGGUCCCAACAGCCGCCUCGCACAUACACGUACAUUGGCUCGCAGGCUCUGGCAUGUCAUCAGCGUUUCGCAGCAGCGUGCAAUGUCUUGGUGACGCACGCCUCAAACGCCAACAGCCAGCAUGGCUGCCGCCGACAUGUCAUACAUCACGCACGCAUGCUCUGCCCACACGCGCUGUACGUACCCCCGUGCUGACUGAUCCCUGCAUGGCCGCCUUCCGCACUCGCAGAUUACCUACUCUAACCAGACGCUGUACGUCCCCACGACCCAGGGAAUGUUUGUUGUCGGGGCCACAAACGGUGGGUGGGCCGAUGGGACCGACCUGCUGCGCACACUGUCCGCACAAGCCGUGUCUUCUGCAUCCAGCCUGACUCCUGAUGCGCACGCCUCCGCGCGCCCUGGUCCCGCAGGUGAGGCUCUGUGGUCCGACCUGCGCUCCCGCCUCAACGCCAACAUUCACGUGAUCGAGCGGCCGGGCGGGCCCCAAGUCAUCUAUGGCAGGUGCGCGGCCGUAAUGCGCGACAGCACGUGUGCUGCUUGCUUGGUGGCCUCCAGCGAAUCAGGGGUGUAUGGCUAAUGCGCAGCGUCCCUCCUCAUCUAUUUCCCGUGCCGUUUCGCAUGCUCACUCUGCCGCCCACACAGGUACCUGUCUAACUUUGAGUCCAACACGCCUCAGUGCCGGCCCCCCAAGCCAUCCGGCCUUGUCACAAAGAUCUCUGUGCGCGGUUCCGUGCCCGCUGAUGGCGGCGAGGAGCCCUCAACGCCCACAGACGCGCCAGCGCCUGACAGUCGCCCGGUGCCUGUGACUGCCUCCCCACCUCCAUCGGUUACUCCCGCCCCCGCCCCUUCCCCGUCGCCCUCUCCUCCACCAUCUCCCUCCCCGGCGCCCGUGCGCUCGCCGUCUCGCUCCUCCUCGCCUCCGCCACCACCAGUGUGCCCGCCCUGCCCAGCCAUUAACUGCUCCGCGCCCGCCAAGAGGCCCUCGUCGCCCGCCGCGGUCGCAGUGGCACUGGGUCUGUCUGGCCUGCCGUACAACAUUGUGAAAGCCGACUCCAAGCUCCGUGACCGGGUUGCGGGGGCUGUGGAGAAGCUGGUCAGCGGCAAGGUGACUGGGUUCGUGCGUGUGCGAGUGCUGGGUGUGGAGAGCACCGCGGGCGGCACGGCGGCUGUGCUGCGCCUGAGCCUGCAGCGCAGCGGCGGUGCGUCUGCUACCGCUGUGGCGUCUGCGAUUGAGGACGCGGCUCUGAAUGGCAAGCUACAGGAGGUGGUGCUUGCGGCCAAGGUGCCGGCCAAGGUGCGCAGCGUGGUGCUGAAGGUGUGAGAAGGUGGUCAAUCAGGUCCGGCACACCUAUUCAAGACACACAGUGGAGAUUGCGCAUUACAUGUGAUGGAUUCGGUAUGUAUCUGGGCAUGUCAUGGAUACUCGUGGCCUCGAAAAGAAGCGCCUUCCUAUGACGGGGAUUUCCAGACUGAGCUGGGAUGUCCUUGGAGCGUGUCGAGAUUAUGCGUGCACUGCACCACCAAGGAUUUGCUUGGGUGUCAUCUUUCAUGUGUUCAUGUGGAGUGCGUAUCGACUUGGCCAGCAAUAAUGAAUGUGAUUGCCUGGUUGCAACGAGGCAGACCGGGCUAACUGGGCUAACGCCUGCUUCCUACUACAGCUGCGGCGUGGAGCUUGCGUGGGAAUGCUUUUGCCGGCGGCUGUGCGCUGAUACUACUGGAGUCAAAGGUCACGACCUGGCGAAGGAAGGGCAUUGCGAGAGGGGCAUUGCGCUUGGUGUGGCCAUUUGAGCCAUGAAGGUAACAACUCUGCUGGAGCGCAAGGUUGAAGGACGGGGAAGCUCCGCACUGACCUACUACCGCAGAGCUGAGGAAACGGAAACGCCUCCUUGCAGCCAACUUCCCAGCUUCCCAGGGCAACGUUGAGACGUUUGAGACCGUAGUUGGUCCGUACAGACAGUCAUUGAAGUGCGGAUACCAAACGUCUGAUCUCUCUGGUGAUUACUACGUAUCUAUUCAGUCAUCAAGGGAAUUCACCCUCAGCGUGAUGCAGCAUCCAUGAUAAAUGCGACUGCAUCUCGGCCUGAAGGCUGGUGGCUAUAACGUUGGUGGCGUUGCAUUGGGGUGCGGAGCUAGAGUGGAUGGAAAGCGGCCAUGGAGGCUGGUCAUGAGUGAUGUGUGGCACUCACGAUGACGGCACACAUAAGAAGGUGCAUGGAGUUGCAGUAGGGUGACAUUGCAGGGGCCGGCCGCAGCAACGCCUCCAUCUGAUGGGGGCCGUCUUCAGUUUCGCGCGGUGACUGCAUGACUUAGUGUGUGCACGUAAUGAGUGGGGAAGCGGCAGUGAGAGGUAGGGGCUUCGUGUUCACAACUGAGCAAGUCUGCAGUCUGUGUCACACUCUGUCAAUGAGCAGUUUCCGUUGUGGCUGCUGUUCUGGCGCAUGGCAGACUUCUAGAUGUAUGUCGGUGGGCAUGUUCUCCUAAGGCGUGUUUGGCAAGGUUUGGCGCUGCUCACGCUGAUCGCUUAGCAUAUGGACUUGUGACUUUGCGUGCGCAUAGGUUUUGGCAUAGCGGUGCCUUAUGAGCCGCUUGUUUUGUGAUGCUGCGUCUGGUGUGGCUAUGGCGGGCAUUCAGCUUAGCUUCGACACGCCUGCGCAGCUGUAAGUUGGGUCGGCAGCCGAGCAGGGGGGCGGUUCCCUGUGCCGAAGACAGUGUUUACACUGUCCCCAUCUUGUAACCCGCACUCAUAUGGACCCUUCGUUGGCGACGGUAACGUUCGUGUGUGCCAGCUGUACCGGAUGCCUGUGCCAGGUGAGCCCUGUCCCACCCACUUUGUGACAGUUGUUGGGAUGGAUUGUCGGGAUAGUUGUCGAGACGCUGUGCUGCGCUCUUCGCUAUCCACCACCCGUAAGCAAGAUGCUAGGACUGGUGCUUGGGCCCAUCCGCCGGCCAAAACACAAACUUAGCGUCGCGCCCAGGCCAGCCACCGCGCCUGCAGCACCUGAAAGCAACCAAAGCGGGCGUUCUCGGACCAAGGCGCCCUCGCGCCCAUGCACCCAUGCAAUGGUGCACUGUGCCACUUCGCACGCCUUCCUGGAUUGGGAACUUGCCGGUGCUCACUUGUGCGCUGGCGCAGCCCAUGUUCUCUUUCGGUGCGCAGGCCGCUUGCGUGCCGGACUCCGACUGAGCCGCGCUCAGCCAUACAACCUCAGCCAUACAACCUGAGCUCAGCCAUACAACGUGAGCAGCCCUGUGUAACGAGCAUCGUUGCAUAUGAGUAUGUACGGCGGGGUUUGCCCCUCGCCCCCUGUGUAACGGCUCACGGGUUUGGCACGGUCCCGGAGUCCGUACUCUGGUCCUCAUAUUUAAGUUAUUGCGAGUCAUACCGGGAUACCUUUAUCCCACCGAUACCGGUUCUUACACCCUGCGACCGACCCAGCAUCCGUGCCUUCCUCUCGCGGCUGUUAGAGGUGCUUGAAUGCUGCAGGGUAUGUUGUGCUGCGUCGGCGGUGCUGGCGUCCCAGUAUGCGGAUGAUUGCACGCCGUUUCUAGAGGGGUUUCAGGCGGUGCCGGGGUUCCUGGCGGACAUGGAUGUGUUUCGGCGGGCGUCUGGACAACGGUUAAACAUUACUAAAGUUGAACUGAUGGUGAUGGGGACGGUCGGCGGUGCUGGCGCCCUGCCGGCCGGCGUGGCUGGCCCGCCCCUGCCCCCUGGCUGGCGUGUGGUGCCGGCGGCCAAGUCACUAGGGGUGCAUUAAUACGGGGAUUGGGGCGCACUUACCCCGCCAGUUACGUUUGAGGCCGUGUUAGGGGUGCUGAGCAAAAUCGCGCGCAUUCCCGUGUCCAUGUUUGGUCGGGCGGCCGCGGCGUCGGCUUAUGCUUUGGGCAAGGUCCUGUAUCAUUUGGAAUUUGCGGGUCUUCCCCAACUGUACGUUGUUGACCGCCUGCUAGCCAGGGUAGCGGCGGUGGUGAACCGGCGGCUGUCGCCGGCCCAGUUUGAUGCCAACCCCCAGGCACGCCCGCCUGGCCUCUCCAUUGAACUUAUGCGACUGCCUCCGGCGGCGGGGGGGGCGGGCCUGUUACCGCUGGUGCCGCAUGUGAAAGCGCGGCAAGCCGGCCUCGCGGUCCGGUGUGUGUUGGGUGUGUGUGGUCUGCUGCCGUACGUGCCCCCGUGGACCCGGGUCGCAGCGGCGUGGCUGCGCCAGGUGCACCCGGCGGCAACGCCCCUGCGCUUGUUGGUGCGGGGGGCCGCGGACCGUGUGCUAAAUAAGCCGCUCACCCCGGCGGGCAAGCCGUUUGCGCGCCUGCUGAAAGCCAUGACUGAAUUGCCCGCGGUGACUCUUGUGGCGCCGCCCGAGCCGGGCGCGUGGGUGAGUCAUGUGCCGUUGUGGGCUAACCCGGCGCUGUGUGAGGACGGCCGCACGUGAGAAGUGGCUUUCGCGGAUUUGUUCGCUCUGCCGGGACUGGCGUGUGUGGGCCAGCUGGUUGCAGCGCAUGACGGCCUGAACGAACUGCGGCAGGCAUGUACACGCCCUUGGGCGUGGGGCUCCCGAUUUGGUGAAGCGUGUGCGGAAAUGUAUGUGACUGCUGUGUGGCGGCGGGUGCUGCACUGGAGUACGCGGGCGCGCCUGCCGUCGCCCCUGCCGGGGCCGGCGUCGCCUCAAGAGGCGGCCGACCGGAUUGCGGCGGCGGUGGCCUUUCUCCCCGCUGGCUGGGCUGCCGCCGCGCGUGCCGCCCAGCUGGCUCGGGGGCUUGCCGCCGCGCUGCCGCUCCCGGCGGCCGACAUCGUGAGUGCUACGGCGGAGUCGGUGCAACAGGUGGUGCGGGGGCGUGGCUGGUUGCAGUGCGGGGGGCCGCCCAUCCUGCUCACUGCCUACACGGUGAAGGCGGGGACCAUGCUACAAAUGGCUCCACAGUUCGCCGCCCUGAAGGCUAAGCAUUUGCAAUAUGUGUGCGACGCGGGUGUGUCGGGGGUAGGGGCUGCGCUGGCGGCGGGGGCCUUCGUGUACACCUUGGCCCGCUUGUGGUCGCUGAAAUGGGAGAAUCAUCAUAAGGAAGCACUGUGGCGUGUGGCCGCCAACGCUUGCUGGGCGUUUCCACGGCAUGCUAGCGAGCGGGCGCGAGGCGUUGCUGUUGACCCGUGUUGGGCGUGUGGGGUUGACAUGCAGGAUGGGGACCGGCGUCACUGGUUUUGGGACUGUACUGUUGCGCUGUCCCUGCGGGAAACCAUGGGGAUGGCUAUGGGUUUCAUGCCAGAGGAUGCUCUAAGUGCCUUCUCUCGUGAGGAGUUGUGGUUAGUGCGCCCGCCUGCGGGGCUUGCGCCACCUGUGUGGGAUGUGGUGUGUCUCGCUGCUAUGUCUGCCCUGGACUUUGGUCGGCAGCGUAUGGUUAUAUAUGGCCGGGCUGGCGACGCGAGCGAAGCUGCCGUCGGCCCGGGUGCUGAGCAUUGGAAUUGCUGUCGUAGCUGACUUCUGGGGUCAUCUUCAGACGUUUGUGACUUUGGGUAUCAGGCCAAAGGGUUGGGACACUGUGCCGUCUGCGCAUCCUUUCAUCUCUCGGGCUGUUGGUGAUGGCAUGGUAUUGCGCUUGCCGUAUGACGCUGAUUCCCCGCCUCCCUCACCGCGAGAGGUUGUGGGUGGUUGCGGGCUUGGUGUGUGGGCAGGACGCACGUGUGGGCGACCGUUCUAGUGCCUGGACGCUUGCGCCCUGGUUAGUGCGUGCGCUGUGCGUGUGUGCUGCGGCCUGGACGAUUCCCGGCACUCCGGUGCCUAGGCUUGUGGCGUUGAGGCACAGCGGUGGGUCUCUGGCGGGUUGAGGCUUGGCUAGGACUCACUGUGCGCGGAGUCACACGGACUUCGACCGCGGGAGGGUUUGCAGCAAUAAAGUCGGGGUUGGUGGAGUCAAGUUGGGCCCUGAUAGCAUGUGAUGGCUCGGCGUCUUCGGGUGCUGGGACUGUCCCCUAUGUAACAUUCGCAUUCAUCUAUGCGCAACAACAGUGAUCAAUCUUAACACUGCAUCGACCGUCAGACCUAUCCGCAUCCAGUUUCACGCCAGUUUCCGCCGCUUGGCCAUGCUCUCGCCUGUGCUCUCGGCGGUGUGCUUCUUGCCCUUCCUGUUGGUGUUGCCCUUGCCCGCAAGCUGCCCCUGCGCCCCGCCCGUGCGUGCCCCCUAGCGCCUGUCGUGCGCUCCAGCGAGUCCCACCGCGCUGGAGACCAACUGCCAAGCGUGUGAAACCGUGUGCGCCCAGAGGCAGCUUAUGGAAUAGGGGCAGCCCCAUGCGUCUCUCUGAGUUUACACGCAGCGCACACACCGACACACGCAGCUUCCCCAACGGCACGCGCGCGAUUGCGCACUCCCACUCACGCGCCGCGCUAACCGCUUGCCUCCGCCGUGCUCCACCGUGCCCUGCCGCAGCUUCCCACAAGCGUGCGCGCUCAACUGCUCAUUCCCACUCGCACGCCUGCCGACUAGCGUCAACUGCCCGUGUGCGUCACUACAGUCAGGUAGCUGGGCAACCGUACAACUACCUGCUCACACUCGCGCAGCUGCCACGAUAUGCACGGUCACACGCCAGGUCAGGUCGUGACAUAUUGCCUUUCGCCUUCGCUCAGCCGUCAAGCACUAGUGCAGCAGGCAGCAGGCCAACCAGACAGCAAGGAAAACCUCUCAACACCCUUGCCGCUGCAGCUGACUGCCCGCUACGCCAGCCGUGAAAAAACGUGCAUGAACAACUUCUGGCUCCUGAGCGCAGCCAGACGUUGCGCAGUAUGGUACCACAGCAUGAAUUCAUGAUGGCAACCUUCAUUUUCACAACGUCUACUCAAAUGAUCAAAUGAACCUGCGCAUGCGCAUGCUAGGUGCGCACAGUGUCGCCAAACUCACACGACAGUGCAGUGCACACGUGUGGCUCGCUCGACCUGGGGCCAUUAUUCUCAACUUGCCCACGCAGGCUCAAAGCAAAAUAAGAACACCGCCUCAAUCUGUUCUGCUGUACGGUGAAUCAAAUCCGGAUCCCAAAGCCCAGCUUCGCAACCCUAGACCCUCCACUCCUCCGGGCACUCCUGCAGGUAAUUGCCUGUACCGCGAGGUUUAGCUCGCAUGCCCUGGCAAAGCUGUCAACCCUUAUGAUGUGGCGCUACCGUCCAGGUACCAACGCCUUGUGUAACUGCUGGGACGCCAAGUAUCAAUUGUCUGCAUCUCUCAGUGCAGGCUUACGCCCUGGAAGCGCUUGCUCCUCUCAUCUCCAUGCCCAUGCCUUCUCCCUUUGGAGUUCGGACCAUUGCAUUCCCACCUCCUUCUUGCGCGUUGCGCUGCACAGCUCUAUAACUGUGCAGCUCGUCGCCCUGAGCCGCCUUCGACGCCCAAGCCGGCGCCGCUGCCCCCACAAGUGCCGUUCCCAGCACCCCACCCGCCCACAUCAUCAUCCCUAUCCCACCACAGUCGGCGUGUCGGCCAGCGGAUGCAACUCCUCCUCCGACUCGGUGGACGCCAGCCGCGCGCGCCGCGCCGCCUCUGCGGCCUCCUCCGGGUGCAGCUCCGGGUGCGCGAUGAGGUCGGGGAACUCCGCCAGCCCCGGCGCGGGCUCCAGGCUGCAGAAGGCGGCGCUGUAGGUCUCCACGGCAUCCUGACGGAGCAGCAGGAGUAGCAGGUGCAGCAGGAGCAGCAGCAGACGCACGGCGAGUGGCGAGCAAGGUUGGCAGACGUUGACGCAUUCGAGGUAGGGAUUCAGAGGGGUUCGUGCCAACGUAUCGGCGUAUGGUAGUCGCAGGCGUGAAGUGGUGCGUAGCCGUGCGCGAUAUGCAUUGCAUGCAACGCAAAGCCCAGCCCUCUUUCGUGCAUACUGUUUCACUACCCAGCGCCCAAUGCGCGUAUUUCCCGGCAAUAUACCCACCGGUAACGUCUCCCCCACGCAUACCGCGUCUAAACCCAUCAGUACCGUCUCCCCGCCACCACCACCGCCCCCGCCCCACCUUGAACAGCUGCAACUUGCUGAUGGUGGCGCUGAAGGCCGCCACACGGCCCUCCGCACCGCGGUAGAAGUGGAAGUACGGCAGCACUGCGUCGUGCACACAUACACGCACGUCAGCCGACGCGGUACUGGCUAGAUGUUUUGGAGCUUGGGUUCGAGGCUUAGUGAAAUUAAUGUAAAUGCGAGAUAUGCGAGAUAUGUGAGCGACGGUGUGCUGCAAGCGUCCAGCAAGCGAUGAGUUGGCGCGCUCAGAGGAUCCCGGGUCACAGCGAGCUGCAAUACAUACGUUCUGGGUUGCAAACUGUAUCAUACCAUAUGGGUCUUGGUGAUGCAGGUACAUGGACCCGGGGGAGCAGACACGCACGUCCUGCUAAUUACCCGUACAGAGCCCCAAGCCCACCGAGCACGUGCUGCCUGCUCACCCUUGACGCUCAGGGUGCGGCACGCGUCACGGUUGUCGUCAAAGUUCACUUUGAGGAAGAGCACGUCCGGGUUCUCAGCCAUGAUUUUGCAGAUCUGCAGGGCGUUUGUAUGACUGGUGUCAUAUGCGCUCACACGUCCUGCACUCCGUGGCGUAACGUGCCGUCUGGCGAAAGCAGGGUCUCUGGCACGCUGUGCGCGUGCGUGUGUGACCGUGUGCCGCAAUGCCAUCCGCACACGGUAUGGAUUGCCGCCUACCUUGGGGAAUAGCGCGCGGCAGGCGUUGCACCACUGGGCGUAGAACUCCUGCCAACGCAUGCAUCCCGCGCAAAGACGUUGACAACCGCAUGGCGUAUCAGAUAAGGCCAACCACGGAAAAUAGGCCAGGCGCAGAGGGCUCUUGUCCCAAAGUAUGCAUUGUGCAGGGGUGCCUGUCCAAACUGAAGCGACACGCCCGGUAACGCACCACAAUGACGAGGCGGUCUCCGGCAUCCGACAGAGCGUCAACCAGCUCCUGAAUUGAGUUGAUGUCCUGCGUGUGUGGCACGGGACAGGAAACUGAACAGCAGCUACAGCCCGGCGGCACGGCGUGCGUUCGUUCACAGGGUCUUAACACGAACCCCACAAGGUCCCUUCUUUCAGCAGAACUGCACCGCAGCGUUGAGUAGAAACCCCCGGUCCUACUGCGUGCCAGUGCGUGAGGCUUUUCGGAGUCGCCAGGCUGCGGGUUGCUCGGCCCAUCCUGAUUCGUCACACCUGACCGCCCAACCCGCGACAAGGUUUUGAGCAGCCACACCUACCCGCAUGUUUGGGGGGUUGUCCUUCUUCCACCAUUCCCCAGUGCUACGCCCUGCUUGGCAAACGACCCCGUUGGCGCGCCCGAGGCCUGAUGUCGAGCGCCUGUGCAGAUCCACAUAAACAGGGCAUGAUGAGGACAUAUACGCAAUCAAAAGAACGAUUGUGGUAUUACCGUGCAGUCAGCAGCGCUCCCGCCGCGCAGAUGGUUGUCCGGAAUGGCUUCAGCGCCACUGACCGCAGCGAUAAAAGGCUGCCAGGAAUAGAACGCAAUGACUGCUUAGUCUCAAAAACUAACGACCUUGAACCGGCACGAUUUAGUAUGCUGGCCAUCCUGGAAGCCCGCGCUUUAGGCUAUCGUUCUUCAAUCCUUCCUGUUGCUGGUUAAUGACUACUGUUGGGAGAAUGGCUGACCCAAUUUGCGUUGACCGAGUAUUCGUGUGUGCGCUAGCCCAUCAGCGCGAGGGUCGCAUGCCACGAUGAAGGUGACUCAGACUCAGAGCCCCUUGCUCCUCCCUUUUCCGUUCCCUGAGUUCCCGAAUCCGAUCAGGUUUGGGUCUACUCCUGAUAGUAGAUACGUCGCAACUCCUUUCAUCAAGUAUGAGGGCAUGCACAGACCUUCAACUUCGAGCGCAUCAGCACCUUGGUCAGGGCACGCAUCCCACCUGGCAGUCCCCUUCGGACACUGCAGCACGAGCAAAGACCACCCGCUACUACAAGUUUCUCAUUCGCCUUCUUGUUUGAAAUUUGCCCGCCUUCGACAUUGCCGUGACUUUGGCGUACACCAACUAGAGCGUGGCACAGCACUGACCCAUGUGCCACUUGGCAUGUCUCCGCAGCCGCUUUUCUGUGCACAGCACAGCUCCAAUCCCACAUCGCCUCAACACAUCAAUCUCAUCUCUUUUACCCAAGACAUAGCCUCAGAAGAGACGGAGAUGUAUCUGACAACCCCGAACCCUCACCCCCAUAAAUGUACCUUCGCGCACACGGUUGUCUCCUUGUGUCCCGCUCUCGAGGCGUUGGGUCCGUAUAUGCAGCUACACACACGCUGCACGUCACAUGAAAGGCUCAAGCUUGACUCACGCUCCACACAUCACGUCAAAUGAGUUUGCCCACUUGUUCGAAAUGUUGUCCGGUCCGGUUCUUCUGGGCAGUCAUGCCUGCGUGUGAAUCAGCCUACCCAACAUGCUCCUGGGCUGACGCAGCAGCACGGCGGCUCUGCCGCGCCAGAUACACGCAAAACAGCCUAUUUCCAUGCACGACUCAUGAUGUGCCCAUGCACAUGGCUCUAGGUUCAUUACAAUAUAGUACAGCAAGGACAUACACACACACACACACACACACACACACACACACACACACACACACACACACACACACACACACACACACACACACACACACACACACACUUCGCCAGAACUUUCGAGGGUUUGCUUAUACAGACGAUGCAGGUGCAUACGGGCAUGGGGCACGGGGAGGACUUUUGGCAGCCUGUCACAGGCGAGAAGGCAUGUGCUACAAUGCGCCGACAUACCCCCUCCAUUACGUCAACAUCCUGUGCGCCCUUGAGUUAUUUGAACCAGUGCCCACUCGUGAUGCCCAUCCCCAAGCACACCAGUUUCCAUCCCCUGGAGAGUACGCCUGUGCGUGCCGCUGCCUCCAUACCAUAGAAGCCCCACCUCUCUGACCUCGGUAAGCAAGUCUCCUGGUAGCCAUCCUCACCACGCGGAAGGCCGUUAGUGCCACUCCCUGGUCCGGUGAUGCUCAUUGGUCGCGAGCCGCGUCCUCGUCGGCACGCACAGCUUCCCGAGGCCGGACAAUUGUCCCUAGCUCCAUCUCCACGGGCAUUGAGUUCGUUUUCCUGUGCUUGGUUGCCUUCUCUGCGUGACCAUUUUCUGCUGCAGGUGCGGGCGUUUGCGUGGCAGCAGGGGCUUCUGCGGGCUGCUUCUUGGUAAACCAGUUGGAUAGCUUCCAAGAAGUUCCUGGAGCGCUCAUUUUAUAGUGCAAAGGCCAGAGAACCUUGAAGAGUCACGCGGUCUGCUACAGUGUACAAAACAGCAAGCAAGGCGACUUUGUUUUGGAUGUGCCUACAGUAUGUCUUAACCGGCUACCGGCUAAUUAUAUUAGCCGGUUGCAAAUACAUGGUAUAUGCGCGCUCCCAUCCCGGCACACAUGGUUUCCCUCGCUCGUCGACCCCCCCCCCCCCCACACACACACACACACACACGCACACACACAUACGCACGCACGCACAUACGCACGCACGCACGCACACACUCCUGCACUUACCUUCCUGCGAGUAUCAGCUGUUAAAAUCUUUAUGUUUAAGCACAUCUCUUGACUACCGUAUCCCUAGCACGUGACUGAGGCCCUCCUUGCCCGCGCUGCGCGAACUUUGCCAUGGCGAAGCCCCGUCAAGCCCCCCCCCCUCGCUCCGCGUCUUUGCGUUUUCCGCACUUCAGCCCUUGCUAGUGGCAGCCGGUGCAAAGCGCAUAGCAUGCCGCGUCUGACAGGCCUGCCAAGCUACUACACGACUGAGUCUCGUGCAUGGAGGGGCGGGACGUCAUACGUGGGGCUGGGCAAGGGUAGCGACUACAGCUGAUGUGUGGAGUGGCAUACAGCUGUUGCGCGGGCUACCGUGCCCUUCGCCUGCCUUUAUCCCGCGCGCCCAUCGCUCCAUCGCCGUGGAACUUGCUGCCUUGCUGGGCUAUUGGAGCAGAGGCGCAGCUUGCGCAACUGGACAAACUGCCCGCACCGCUGAAACGCAUGAAGCCAGGCGCUGUGCCUUGGCGUAACCCUGCCACGAUGCGGACGGUGAUUUGCAUUUGGCUGCGUGCCCUGACUUGCGCCAUCUUGCGCUGCCCACAAGGCUAAGGGACGCCAACACGGCAACUGCGGCUGGUCCAGGGGGGGGGGGGGUACGAACAAUAGUUCCAGAGGACACCCCCCAGACACCCCGGUUGGGAUGUACCGAAAUCGGUCUGGUACCCGCAGCAGAAAAAAUGCGUUUGCCGACCUCUGGACUCAUCCAGCUUACCGCAGAGCCGCCCGCCACCCCCGCCCCCCGCGCCCCUGCUUCCCCCAAGCCCAACCCCCUCCAUUCCAUACAGGAUCCGCGCAUUCGACUCUGCGCCCCUUGCUGGCGCCCUUACUCGCUAGUCGCUACAUUAGCGCUGGCUACAAUUUGCUUACAACGAACCUGUGCCUAGUAACCGUAUGCGUGAAUGACAGUUUGAAGCUGCCAUGGAUUUUCGACGCUCAUACGCGGGCCCAGCAAGGGCAGGCAAUGACUUCUUCUCUCACCUAAAUAGCAAGGAUACCAAGAAAGAUGACAGGCAGGAGCGCGACAAUGGCUCAGGAGGUCCAACAAAGGGGGUCGCCAGGUGCGAGCAGCUCUCCUGAUAGCGCCUCCUGGCAGCCCGGCGUGAUGCACAAACGCUGAAACAUAUGCAUGGGUAUCCUAUUCCGCCUGCGAUGUGUUGCGCGGAUGUGAGUUAGGCUGUGCCAUUUACCCCCGUUGGCGGAUUCGCAGGCCCACGCAGUCCUCGAUGGCGAAGAACAGUGUGGACAUGCAGCGCAGAGGCUCUUUCUCAGCAAGGUAUGACCGCUUGGACGCGACAGGAAUCGGUGUUGAGUGGCACGGCCGUGCACGCAGUCGAACUGGGUUAACCCGCACUCGCGCCAUACCCCACACAGGCAAAGUGGCCGCUUUAACCCUCUGAGCCAAAGCGUGGAUGUCGGACCUGCCCUGCGUGCUUCCGGCUUAGUGAGCGGCAUUCCCCGCCAGCCUGCCCAGCCGGCCGGCCCUGCUACGCCUCCCCCCGCAACAGUUGCUGCUGCGGCAGCAGACGCGGCCGUCCGUGAUGCCCAGGUCAAAAUCAAUGACCUGUACACAGCUGCCCAAAACCGCGAAGUCGCCCUACAACAGAAACACAAGCAGCUGGAGGUGCGUCUUGCCUACUGAUUGCGAUAAGGCUUUUUCAACCGCUCCACGUCUAAACGGGUUAGUCGGCAUUCUGCACACGCUGAUUGUCCAUGCGGGAUCCCAUCUGGCACGUGUGCUCUUCUAACCACAUGAUUCAGGCGGCCGUGAGCACUGCCAACGUCCGUGUGUCGGAGCUCACCCGGACGCUGCAGCAAGUCAACGGUGCGCUGGACGCGGAGCGCGAGCGGGCGGAGAAGCUAAGGGCGGAGCGUGACGAACAGACUGCAGAACUGGAGGUGGCGAAAGCCAAAGUGGCGGAGCUGGAGGCCUCGGGCAACGUUGCCGCCAGCAGCAGGUACGAUGCACUCUGCAACAUAAUGCUGUGCUUGCGGCAUGUGCACCAGCGUGUAUCAGUGCCAGGUGGAGCUCGGUGGCUUGGUCUGUUUUCCAUGAACAUCCAUGGCACCCUGACGCCCCUUGCUAUGCUUUCCUUGCGCACCCACCGCAUGCUCCGCAGCGAGGUGUACAAGGCCGUUAUGGCUCGUGCAAUGGAGACCACUGUGACUGCUAUCGGUAGCGCACAAGAGAUGGGCGCUGUGGCGCAGGAACGUGAGACAGCGCUGUGCGGGCAGCUGGAGACGUGCUUGGUGCGCAUCAGGGACAUGGAGGAGCUGGCGCGCGCGGCGCGGGCGCGGGAGUCUGACCUGCGUGCCACGCGUGACCGCACCGUCGAGGAGCUUAAGUCUGCGCAUCAGGAGGCGGCGGAGCUGCGGCGCCAGCUGGCCGCAACCGACGAGGAGCUGGCCACCGCCCGCAACCAGCUCAACGCCGCGCACCAGGAGCUGAAGGCCGCGCGUGCGGCAGCUGCCAUGGAGUCGGAGGCGCUGCGCCGGGAGCUGGGCGCAGCGCGCAGUGACGCCGCGGCGGCGGUGUCGCAGCUGACUGUCACGCGAGUUGAGCUAGCAGAGGUGAACGCACAGGCCACCAACCAAGCCUGCCAGGCCGCUGCCGAUCUUGAGGCCCUGCGGUGCGAGCUGGACGCAUCGCGUGCCGACGCUACGACGUUGGAGUCGCAGCUAACCGCCACGCGUGCGGAGCUGGUAGCCGCGAAUGCGCAGGCAAGCAACCAGGCGCGCCAGGCCGCCGCUGAUAUCCAGUCUUUGCGACUUCAGCUGGACGCAUCGCGGAUUGAUGCUGCGGCGGUCGACUCGCAGUUCACCGCCACACGCACGGAGUUGGCCACGACGCGCAAGGAGCUGAGCGACACGCGCAAAGAGCUGGAGGGCGCAAGCGCCCAGGCCGCCAGCCAGGCGCGUCAGGCGGUUGCCGAGAAUGAGGCCCUGCAGCGUAACCUGGACGCAGCCGCCGAGCAGCUGCACUCUACGCGCAAGGAGCUGGACAGUGCCACAGGCCGUGCCGGCGAGCUGGAUCGCAAGCUGGGCGCCGUGCAGAAGGAGCUGGCGGCUGAGCAGGGGCGCGUGGCUGACCUGCAGCUGCAGCUGGGCGAGGCGCAGGAGGAGCUGGAGCAGGCACAAAGCAAGGUGGCAGCGGCGGAGAGCCAGCUGAAGCAGCAGCUGACGGUGGCGCGCGAGGAGGCGGCGGCGUCGGCUGCCGGUCUGGAGGCGGCGCGCGUGGCGCAGCGGCAGCUCAGCGAGGAGAUGGAGGAGAUGGUGGGCAAACUGUGCGCCGGCGAGGACAAGGUAAGGCGCACCUACCAACAUUCAGGGGGAGUUUGCGGUAUGGAUGCUGGCUACAUGGGGUUUCGUUUCAAGCUUUUGGUGCUUGUGCAAACCCAGCGCACUCCUUACUCAUUCCGCCCGUUCUCAUCACCGCAGCUGGGCGCACUGAUUGAGGAGCUGAUGGCACCGAUGGCCAGCGUCAGCGGUGUGGCCGACAUGCCGCCCUCGUACGAGGCAGCCGUGGCCCGCGCCACUGCGCUCAAGAACAGGUGAGGCGUCAGUUUAAGCCUUGUCUACGUCUGUCACCGCCUUCGUUUGAAGUGGAUGCUAUAAGUCGCAAGCGAGCGCUUUGCCACUAUAUCAUUUGAACACGGCCCCGCUGCCAACAGGGUCGCGGACCUGGAGCGUCAGCUGCAAGAGCAGGGCUCCGACAUGCUGCACCUGCGCGCCCGCGUCAUGGAGUACCAGGAGCGCAUGCGUCGCGUGGAGUGCAGCCUGUCACGCGGCGGCGCUGCCAGUGGUGGCGGCGCAGCCCCGGCACACGGCGCGGAGCCUGACGCCGCCGUGAUGGACGAUGAUGCGCUGGUGGCACAGGUGAGGCCCCUGCGCUUUUAACACGUUGCAGUGCAGCGCUUCUCUUUACCUCUAGUUGCCUUAGGCCUCUUGUUUGUCACCCUGUUUCGUUAGGUGUCGGAGCUGGCCGAGGAGCGCGAGACGCUGUCCACCGACAACCUGACGCUGGCGGCAGAGAACGAGGAGCAAAAGGCACAAAUCGCCAAGCUCAGCGCAGAGAGCGCAGGUGUGCCGACGUGGGGCACAGGCCAGAAGCGGCUGGUUUGCUGGAACAAUGCACUGCCGCCGCCCGAACCCGCUGUUCAGACCCUGAGUAGCCCCCGGUCCCUGCUUGUCCAUGGCAGACCUGCGCGAGAAGCUGCAGGAGCUGCUGCUGGAGGCCGCUGUCUUCACCGCCGCCUCGCACCGGGCCUCCGCCGCGUCGGAGGAGGCCUCGCGCCUGCAGCAGCUCAGCGACGAGCUGCAGGCGGCCGUGGCGGACUGGCGCCGCCAGGCGGAGGCUGCCCGCGCGGAGCUCGCGGAGGAGCGGGCCCGGGCGGACGCAGCUGAGGAGCAGGAGCGGACGGCGGCCCGGACCCACCAGGCCGCGGUGGAGCGCAUGGAGGCGAUGGAGGCUGAGGCCGCUGGCCAUGACAUCCGGGUGUGUGUUGCACUGGACAUGGAUGUGGGUCAUCAGGUGCAGAGGGUUCAGGCUGCCCUUGUUUUUGGCUCGCUGCCAGCAUCUACUGAUGACCUGUCAUCCUCUGCUGCCCAACCAGGUCCAGGAGCUGCAGGCGGAGGCGUCGCAGCUGCGUCACCGGGUGGCGGAGCUGGAGGGCCAGGUUGCGGCGGGCCAGAAGGCCAGCAAGGAGGCAAAGGACCAGGUGCGCAUAACGCAUGUUCCAGCAGAGACGAAUUUCCGGAAUGUGCAUCUUAUGGCAGUUAACUUUGGCAGCGGAUAUGGCCUGACACUCGCGUACUGGUCGGCAGCGCAUAUGGCUAGUUACGAGGGGAGGCCGCUUCGGCGGCCGAUAGCCCCCAUACACCCCGCUAACUGACACCAAGUGUCGUAUCGCAAGCGCAUUGGGCGAAGGCGGUCCCGUGUGACCGCUCCGUGCUGGUGGUGCGCGGCGCCUGGACUGCGGGACGGGGGGGCCGAGGGGCCCGCGAACCCUGAAAAGCCGCGGAUGCUGUACAGAAGCGCUACAUAUUCCCCAAGCGCCUCCCCAGCUCCGCUCCUGUGUGAACUUGGGCUUGAAAUGAUAGAACUCCCAACACAUGCCACGUGCCGUGUAGCUGGGCGCAAUGCACGCCAACGAGUCGGCGCUGCUGGAGCGCAUCCAGACCGCGGAGGCGACUCGCCAGCAGCUGCUGCGCCAGAUUGAUGAGGGCAACAGCGCAGUGGCGGCCGCCAAGCAGAAGUGAGCGCUGGCGGGAAGGCGUCGCUAAUGUACCUGCAGUGUAGCUGUCCUGGGCGGGCGGGCGGACAGCAGCUAAUUCGUGCCCUUCUAUGCAAUGCUUUGGCAGGAUGGAAGAGGCGCUGGCUGCGGCGGCGGAAGCCGGCGAGCUGCGCACACGGCUGGCAGCGCUGACGGAGGAGGCCGACCGGCAGGCGCAGGCGGCAUCUGCGGCUGCGGCACGUGUGUCAGCGCUGCAGUCCGAGCUGCAGGAUGUGCGUGAGCAGCUGCGAGAUAGCAACGUAAGUAUGCUGGGCGUCCAGGACCGGGGGCAGCGUGUUGUGGAAGAGCACAGAGCGCAUGGGUGCAGAAGGUCAAAGGCGGCUGUUAGGGCCGCAAUAAUUUGGGGACCCUGUUGCCAAUGCGUUUUUCCAACUUUGCUUUGCGCGUGUGUGCGACGCACGGCCCUGCGCAGGACCGCGCUACUCAGGAGCGGGCGCUGCAUGAGCGCCGCGAGCAGCAGCUGGCAGCCCUGCGCGAGAAGGAGCGCGCCGCGGAGGAGGAGAAGCGCCAGGUGGCGUCUGAGCUGCGCGUGAUGAAGGUGCAGGUGGGCUCCUGGCCGUCGGAGUGGGUCCGAAGGUGCAUCUGAGCCAGGGGCGCGCACCUGUGCAAAUGCAGCAUAGGGUUCAUUGCUGCGCCUCGCAUUGCUGUGACGCACCUCCAGCAAAAUAGCCUUGCCUCUGCCAAUUGCAGGUGGCGGAGAACAACCGCCUGCGUGAGCGCGUCGACGAGCUGCAGGCGGCCCUUGCCCUCAGCGCUGCGCCGCGCCCCGGCGCUGACGCCUACUGCCAGGCCGGCUCCGGUGGCGGCCUCAGCACCGCCCACAUUCAAGGCUACAUGCCGCUGGAGGAGCCAGCCCCGCCCAUGCCUUCCGCCGCGCCUGCCCUGCUGCCCACGGUGCACCACCCCGGCGCCGUCAUGGCGGCGACUUCGCUGGCCAGCUGGCCCGGCCACGUGCCCGGCGUGGCCGGCGCCAGCCUCACACUUGGCCGUGCCGCGACCGGCUACGGCCCCUCUGACAACCUGCUGCGCUCCUACAACGCCAUCCCGGAGGCCGACCCCACGCCGGAGGAGCUGCUGGAAGUGGAGGAGGGGGGGCGGGGGUGGCGUGGUGGCGGCGGCUUCCGGCCGCUGCGCUUCAUGUUCGGGCUGGUGCUGAAGGGCACGCUGGUGGCGGGCGGCAUGGCGGCGGGCAUUGCACUGGGAAACCCCAAGGUGAAAAGGGAUGGUGUGUGUGCGUGCGUGGCUGCUGCGUUCCUGGGGUUCCAGCCCCCGAGGGCAUGCGCAUCGGUUGCUUCUUGCAUUGGUAGUCGCCGGUUACUGCUGGCGUUGGAUAUGGCGACGCGAAAGAAUGUCGGUACACGUACUUGCAUGCCCUUAAUACACUGACCCUCCUGGUCUGGCCGGCUGACUUGGCAGGCGCUGGAGGCGAUGAUGAGCCUGCGCGAUGGUGGCGAGGCGCGUGAAAGGCGCCGCGCUUUUGCGGCCGCCGCCGCCGCCUCUGGCCCCGUGGUGAUAGUCGAGGGCGUGCCGCUGCCGGCGACACCGUCAACGGCGGCCGGUAUGACCCCGUUGCCCUCCAUGUCCGCGGCCAUGUAGGCUGCCGCACCCAGCCGCACCAGUAGGCUGCUGUCGGGUCCAAGGAAUCUGCAGAGUUGCACCAGCAUAAGCUAUUGGGGGGGGCCACGUUGGCUGGCGGUCGUCAGUGGCAUAUAUCGGCGUAACCUGGUAUGUCGCACCAUUAUGGUCUGCAGGUCGGUUUGUGAUCAGUCAAAGUAUUCAUUAUGCGUGAUCGGUGUACACGCCCUGGUUUCAGUACUCAGGAUUUAAGCAGGGGGCGUCCACAACUUGACGCAAGUCUGCAGGAUUAAUGACGUGGAGAGAAUCAUGAAUGGAUGAAGAGCCGCCACGGUUCACUUAUUCGAUAGGCCGGUAAGCGCAUAGCCCUAAUGCACCAUGGGGGCAUGUCGCACCCGUGGAGGGCGCUGGCAGGGCCGGAAUGUCACUGACAGAUCGGCUCUGCGAGAGCGGCUUGCCCAGAUGAUUUGGCAUCCAUGGCUACGCCAUGCAGAAAUGCCUGCGCUACUACACACAAUAGUGUACGAUGUAGGUCUACGUGGAUGAGUGAGGCCACUCCAAAAACAGGCGACAACGCAAGUCCUGAGUCGAACAACCCUUCAGGCAGCAGGCCGUCAACAUCGCCUUACGUCCGUAGACACAGGCGGCUUUCGGCUUUGCGGCUUGACUUAGCACUUCAGCUACUCCGUCUUUACACAUCCCACACUGCCACUCAUAGAGCUACAAACCGCUGGCCAUGUAAUAGACUGGGGAGACUCUGACAGCAUCCGGCAGUUUCGCAAGGCGCAUUGCGACACUGCACACCUGACUAAUGAUGCAUGGUCAUGCCGGGUGCACAGCGGAUGAAUGCUUGUAUCGCCUAAUGCAAGGCCACCUAACAAGUUGCUUCUGGUUAGGCUUCAAUGCACCAGCCGCACGCAACAGGUACCGGUACUGCGGCACUCCAUGCAUCGCCUAGUCCAUGUCGUUCCAGUUCGUCGGCCCUUCCCCUGCGGACGGCGAUGCGGCCGGUGCACCCGACUCUCCUGCAUACCUCACCGCAGCAUUGCCCUGUUGCUCCUCUCCUAACACCGCCUCCUUCCCGCCGUCCCUCCCGGCCUGCGUUUCCGCCGGCGCACUCCCCACCCGCUCCUCCAGCUCCUUCACCAGCGCCCUCAGCUCCCGCUGCACCUCCGAACCUCCAGCGCACUUGUCCAAGCCCGUCCGCGCCGCCACCGCCGCCUCCUCCGCCCGCGCCAGUCGCUGCAGCGCCCGCGCCUUGCGCAGGCAGGUCUUGGGCGCUGUGCCGCUGGUGGGGUCCAGCUGCAGCGCCAUGUCACAGUCCAACACCGCGGCCUCCAGGUGCCGUGCGCCCAGCCCCUCAGAGCCGUGGUCCACGCCCUCCAAAUGCCCCGCCGUGUCCGCGUCGCCUGGUGGAGGCGGAGGGUGACAGGGUGUGCCAUCAGCAGUUGUGCAGGUUGUGCGGGGCGCAUAGAGCCGUGCUUGCAUGUAGGUGCAUCGAAUUUUAAGGCACGCUGAAGAGGGCGUAAAGGGGCAUAAAGAAAUAGUCGUAUAGCGCAGUGCUGUGGCAAGGGCCAAGAGGCAGUAAACGCCCGCGAGCACGACACGAGCGCCGCCCCCGCACCUUCCCGCAGCUGCGCGCCCGCCCGCGCCAUGUAUGCCGCUGCGCGGUUGGCGUGGUAAGUGGCCCGGCGCGGCCCCUCCGUCAGCAGGCGCUCCGUGGGCACCAGCACAUCCAGCGCGCUGCUGUACAAGUGGAUGGCGGCACUAAAGUCGCCGCGCCUGCGCCGAUUGCGGGGUUGUGAAGUGUGGGGCAGGAAAACGUACAGCGUGUCAUUGGUGGAUGUUACGUCGAUAUUAAUUGGAUACAGUGCACAUUUGGCCCCGGCCUUCCCCGACUCCAUUGCCCCAGCUUCGAGGCCCCAGCCUUCUCUCACAAGCCCACGAGCGCGCCGCUCACUUGUACGCCUCGUUGCCGCGCUCCUUGAGCUGCUCAGCCUCGUUGUCGGCGCUGGGCCCGCUGUUGAUGUGGCUGGCCUCCGCCGCCACGUGGUGCUCCGGCUCCUCGUCGUCGCCCCCGUCCAGGCCGCCCAGGUGGUGCUGCUGCUGCGGCUGCAACGGCCUCGUGCCGCUGGCGCCCGCAUCCGAUUCCGACGGCUUCGUGGCCUUCGCGGACGGGAACCUGUUUUGUUAGGAGGGUUUGGGGGUUAGGAGGGGGAAGUCAGCACGGCUUGGAGUCACACUAGAAGCGUGCAGCUGCACACACAACACGCUCGCAGAUAAUCGCACUAUAUGAGUGGAGAUGCACGUACGCAGUAGCGGUGCAAGAAUACCCACAACCUGCCCUGCUGCUCCAGCACACACACACACACACACACACACACACACACACACAUACACUGUCUUUGCGCAACGUUUUCCUUGUGCUCUUUAACACACACACACACACACCCGCCACCGCUCCGCACCUGCUGAAGUCCUGAUAUAGCUGGUUGGCCAGUUGGCGCUCGUCCUCCGAUACCACCUUGUCGCCCGCCCAGUGCUGCAGCAGCUCCAGAAUGCCAGAGCUAAGCGACAACUUGCCGUCCUGCACGCACACACAUUGACACACCGACACACAUGGCAAGGCGUGUUCAUUACCAGAAAUAAGAUACAGACACACAGGGCAGCGUCAACCUCUUGUGACAAAGGUGUCAUCCACGCUUGCCCCAGCCUUUUCGCCCACACCCUUCCUCGCCCGCAUCCUCCCUUGUCGGCCCCUCCUCCCCUCCUCCUCCCCUUCUCUCCUGCUUUCCUUCCCCAACGCACCUGCGUGAAGUGCCGCCUCAUCCAGGACACGUAGAAGGCGAACAGCCGCAGCGCCAUGCCCGAGGCGCCCGGGAACACGGGCUCAGCCCCCGGGCGGUAGUGCGCCAGCAGGUGCGCAAGGAAGGGGCUACUGCUGCUCAGCUCGUACCUAGGUGUACAUUUGGGGGGGGGGCAUUCGGGGAGGGGCGGGACUGGGCGGAUGGGUUGGUGAGCAGGUGGGUGGGUGGAUGAGUGGGUGCAGUCAUGUGCAAUGUUGAAGCAGGGUCGCGGGGCCCGAGGAGAGCGAGCAAGGAGGAGAGCCAGCAAGUGUGACCGUUGCGCGCCAUGUCAUGACCCGGCAGGGGCCGGGGCGCUUCGGUGCCGUGCGGAAAGAUAGGCUGCUUGUCUAGCGCAGCUUGCGCUUUAUUAGUACGGCACACGGUGCUUUGUUUAGAACUGAACUAGAACCGAAAACCGUCGGUAGCAUUGUGCAUCCUCUCCCCCUGGCCCCGUGAGGCCCUGUCCAGCUCACAUGCGGCGCCACACCAAGGCGUACGGCCCGGAGCGCGGCCCGCGGCCGUCGGGUGUUGCGGGCGGGUCGUGCCAGGGGAAGAGCAGGUCCUCAUCGGUGAUGUGCAUCAGCGCCGACAUGGCCUGAGAGGCCAGGUAGGGGUUGGGGUGCGCCAGCACCAGCGCCAGCUGCCUGUGUGGACCGUAAGGACACGUGCGUGCAUGCGUGCUUUGAGCCACACAUGCUUGGCUGUACACGGAUGUGUACGUGCGCCUGCGCGGCCCAGGCCUUGAUGGCCUCUGCAGUCGAAGCCCAAGCAGUCUGGCCGUGCGGUGUACCUGACUGAUGCGGCCGUGCCACUGACCCACUCACUUGAGGCCGCCCGCCUCCACGAAGGGCCGCACCGUCUCCCAGCUCUUGCUGUGCACCAGAUACAGCGAUGCAAGGGAGCACACCUGCACACGGAGGUAGGCUGCAACUUAAGGUGCUCGUUUGCCCUACACAUGCUGCACAGGAGCUAGCGUGGGGCCGCGCCCUGCGCUGUACGGUACCCUCGGCCCUGCAUGUCCGCCACGUGCCCGCAGGGGCUACAUGCCCGCCACGCAUAUGGUCCUACCUGGACAACGCGCUGCGGGUGGCUGUCAGGAGCGCCGGCUGGCGGCAUGGCUAUGAGGUCCGGGUACACGCGCAUGUCAUCUUCGCCGGGGUGGAACAGCAGCUGCCGGGCCCUGGCCAGGGGCACGUUGCGCCCCAGGCACAGCUCCAGCGCCUCGACUGGCGGCUUGUCAUAGCGCUUCCUCAGGCCCGCCCGGAGCUGAUCCGCAAUGUCCGGGGGAGUUUCAGCCAACGCCACGGAGAGAAACUACGAGGACAAGGCAUGGAGGGUCGACGUGCGGGCCGAUAGCAGGGCCGCGCGCGGCGCCAGUGGAGGGGACAAGGCGCGGCUGAGCAGAGCAGCAAGCGCGAUAGACCCGUAAUCUGGCAACCUUUACAACACUUGCCCUCGUCACCCCUUAGGCCGACUCGCGAGGCUGCACCAGGGCACACCUUCUCGAAGUCAAGGUCCACGACCUCAGCCUCAGCUGCUGUCGCUUGAUCUCCGGGUGUUUCCAUCGCUCAAUGUUAACAGUUCUGCUGCUGCUAAUGUUGCUGCAGCCAGAAUAUUGACCAAGACAGCGGUAGACCGGCGAGUUCCAAAGCCGCGCUGUGUGCUUAUGUAUUGUUAUCAGCUUGCUAACAUUGAUGUAAUAGAUAACGGCACUCGAUAGUCAACAACGGCUUUUUACUUCGCUAGAAACAAUCGAAACUUACGAAAGCAUGCUCGCAAGUCCUAGCCCGUGUGUCAUUUUAGCCGACACUACAGUAUCUGCUGUCAAAGCAUAAAAUCUUUGGUUCUAAGUUUGCGCGCCACAUUUGCAAGUGCAACACCCGUCCAAGCGACUUCUGCCACGCUGCACCUUUCCUAGAUCUUUUGAUGCCAAGCAAUGUUUUAGAGCCGAAUUUUGUGUCUGGUCAUGAAUUCAAGCUGUGAUUCAGGCUGUGAGUGGUCCGCUUGCAGCUCGCUCAGGGAAGCAUGCAUGUGGACGUCGCACUGAAAGAAUGAUGAAAACGUCUCAUAGGCAUCUCAUGGGUCUUUCCACCUGGCCCGAAUCGAGGGUUUCCAGGCGGAAUGAAACUAUGCCCCAUCGCGACCUUCUGGAUCUGCACUUAAUUCUCGCGCAGGCGCUGUGGUCUUUGCAUUUCUACGCUAUCUGGGCAUAACAGUUCAGUUUAGUAGCCAAUAUGCAGAUGCAGCUGAACGCCAAGACCGUGCAGGGCGCCUUCAAGGCGCAGCGCCCUCGCUCUGUCCGCGGCAACGUGGCGGUGCGCGCAGUGGCCGCUCCCCCUAAGCUGGUCACCAAGCGCUCCGAGGAGGUAAAUUGACACAUGAGAUCCUAGUACUGAGCGACUUCUCGGGGUCUGGAUGUGCCGAUGGGCACCUUUUUCGGGUGGUCAGGCACAGUAAUCACCCAAAUCCGGGCCUUCGCAGAUCUUCAAGGAGGCUCAGGAGCUGCUGCCCGGUGGCGUGAACUCGCCCGUGCGCGCUUUCCGCUCGGUUGGUGGCGGCCCCAUCGUCUUCGACAGGGUCAAGGGUGCCUACUGCUGGGACGUCGAUGGCAACAAGUACAUCGACUACGUUGGCUCUUGGGGCCCUGCCAUUUGCGGCCACGGCAACGACGAGGUCAACAACGCCCUGAAGGCGCAGAUCGACAAGGGCACCUCGUUCGGUGCUCCCUGCGAGCUGGAGGUGAGCCCGCCAAGACAAUUACGAUACCUAGAAGUUAAUGAUUGUUUCGCGCUCAUCGGAUCCUGGAGUUGAGCGAUGCCCAAAUGAGCGCUGGUCGGUCCAACAAGUGGGGGUGGUAUGGGUGUUGUGCACCCACCCGUCGUGGCGUGAGUAGCUUCCACGUAAGCUGGUCUGCUCCGAAUCUGCCAACAUCCCAUCGCUCUCCGUCGUGAAGGCAGUCUUAGCACGGUGUAUGCAAGCGCACGCAGCGUGGUGCGCCCUCAGCGAGCGAACCGCAGUCGCACGCAAUACCGUGCAACAUCCCCGCCCCCGCCCCCGUAUCCAGCGACUUGCCUCCUCUCAACUGCUCCCUGGCCUUUCCACACCCCCUGCCACCCCACCCCACAGAACGUGCUGGCCAAGAUGGUGAUUGACCGCGUGCCCUCGGUGGAGAUGGUGCGCUUCGUGUCCUCGGGCACUGAGGCGUGCCUGUCGGUGCUGCGCCUGAUGCGCGCAUACACCGGCCGCGAGAAGGUGCUGAAGUUCACCGGCUGCUACCACGGCCACGCCGACUCCUUCCUGGUGAAGGCCGGCUCCGGUGUGAUCACCCUGGGCCUGCCCGACUCGCCCGGUAAGCGUUUCUGCAAACGCGUACGCAGCAGUUGCGUGCUGAUGCAAUUCGCUGACUUCAUUGGCGCGUGGGGGCAAAAGCGCCUGUAUCCUCACUGUCGCGAACAGCUUUCGCGUCCGCGGAAAGCUUUCGGAGUGUGACCCCAACUGGGCCGCAGGAAGAGUGAUCCGAUGUUUCUCACCUUGUGCGUGCUGCAGGUGUGCCCAAGAGCACCGCCGCCGCCACCCUGACCGCCACCUACAACAACCUGGACUCCGUGCGCGAGCUGUUCGCCGCCAACAAGGGCGAGAUUGCCGGUGUGAUCCUGGAGCCCGUGGUCGGCAACAGCGGCUUCAUUGUGCCCACCAAGGAGUUCCUGCAGGUGCGACUCGUGCGCGGAAGGGGCUGGGGGUUGAAACCUGGGGUUGGCAGGAAGCAUUGUGUUUAGAGGCAGCACUGUGCUCAGGGCUACGGCUAAGGCCGAGUGCUGAGUUGUGCACCUUGCGGCUGUUAAUUGUGCAAGAUAAGUGCCGCCUUCAGCACUCUGCUGCUCUGGUGACGCUGGCACGGCUGGUGUCCUCGUGCGUAGAGUGCACGGCAGUGACCGUCUAAUGUGUUGCGCUUUCUUUUGCCCGCUCUGUGCGCGACAGGGCCUGCGCGAGAUCUGCACGGCUGAGGGCGCCGUGCUGUGCUUCGAUGAGGUCAUGACCGGCUUCCGCAUUGCCAAGGUGCGCAGUGAGCGCGCAUUGCUGUUACACACGGUAUAUGGGUGGCAGGGAAGCUGUCUCGGGCGAGCGGACACAGGGCGCGCAUCGUACCAGUGGUUAUGCAGGAGGCGAGUCGACGUGUCCUGACGUGUUUCAUCGCUUCGCUACGUCCCCACAGGGCUGCGCCCAGGAGCACUUCGGUAUCACCCCCGACCUGACCACCAUGGGCAAGGUCAUUGGUGGCGGCAUGCCUGUGGGCGCCUACGGCGGCAAGAAGGAGAUCAUGAAGAUGGUCGCCCCCGCCGGCCCCAUGUACCAGGCCGGCACCCUUUCGGGCAACCCCAUGGCCAUGACUGCCGGUGCGUCUAAAAUCGAUUGCUUCGGUGCUGGAUUGCAGCCAUGAUUCAAGGAAAACGAUGCAUUCGCGCAACGCAAUGCAGACUGGGUGCUGAGCUGGCUGUGUUGCAUAUGCUACAAUAUUUUUAGUGAUUCAACGUCGGGUGAUUGAUUGUAUCGCGCAGGCAUCAAGACGCUGGAGAUCCUGGGCCGCCCCGGCGCCUACGAGCACCUGGAGAAGGUGACCAAGCGCCUGAUCGACGGCAUCAUGGCCGCCGCCAAGGAGCACAGCCACGAGAUCACCGGCGGCAACAUCAGCGGUGAGAGCUGCGGACGUGUUCAUGGCACGCAGCAUCGUGAUGUAAAUAGCAAUGUACGAGUCAAUCGAGGGGUUGGGGAAUGCUUUUCUGCAUCAUCGAAUCUCACCGCGGCCCUCAUCAACGCACCCGCGCAGGCAUGUUUGGCUUCUUCUUCUGCAAGGGCCCUGUGACCUGCUUCGAGGACGCCCUGGCGGCCGACACUGCCAAGUUCGCGCGCUUCCACCGCGGCAUGCUGGAGGAGGGCGUCUACCUGGCUCCCUCGCAGUUCGAGGCCGGCUUCACCUCUCUGGCCCACUCCGAGGCGGACGUGGAUGCCACGAUCGCCGCCGCUCGCCGCGUGUUCGCCCGCAUCUAAGCGGCGCGUGCACAGCUUGCAGCAAAUUUAUCGUGGGUGGGUAGGAUGAUGGAGCAGCAGACCCGGAUGCUAGUGGCGCGCGGCAGCCUCGGUUGAAGGCAACCCUUGCGCGAGUGUCCGCUGCGUGAGUGUCCUUGCGGCUCGACCCGGGAUUCGGGAGGCGUGCUUGCGUGAUGCAGGCGGAGCUGGUUCUUCCGUGUGUAUGCGUCGAGGCAUGCAUGGUAUGCGGAAGAAGUUCAGACGUUGACAGCAAACUCUGUGCAGAGCGCUCAAUACUGGGCCUAUGACGAUGACCUGACCCAUAAUUGUUUAUGACUAACCUGACUUCAUGAGUGAUGAUAUAGUGUUGCGUGUGUUGGUGAGCUUGACAGAGCUUUGACCUCUUGACACCGAGUUUAGAGUGCGGGUGCGCCCUGGGCGGGUACCGAAGCAAGUGCUGCUGACAGUGCUGCGCCAGGCGCAAGAGCUGAGAAGCUAGGAGAAACGAAGAGCAGGAUGAUGGCGGCGUCUACGGCUGCAGAUGUAGGGAUGUAGGCUAUGCAAGGGGGCUCUGAUUGCACCCUCAGAAAGUGUGUAAGAUUACAACCUGGAUCACUGGAGCUUAAACAGGGUUGAUGAAGGGGUGAGAUUGGCCAGAGGUCAGGAGGAACAGAGUCUGCACAGUAGUCUCAACAGCAUCUGGGAGCCUUCCGCCCGUAUCGCGGAUGGAGUAGGCUGCAUGACUGGCCAUACACGCCCAACUAGCCAAGCAGAAUGCAGAGUUGGUAAGGUACGUCGGCGCAAGGUACGCCGGCGUCAGUCGCGUGCGGUUGGCGCUGACCACUGGGUCAGGGGCCCACAGCAAUGCACAGCAGUUGACAGACACGGGACCCAAUACCUAGGUAACAUAUUUGCUGGCCUCCAGCGCGGAGUGGAUUCAGGCCCUGGCUUGAGCCGAUUAUGACUAGUGACACGUGGAGCUCGCGUGCGGUGUGCGAGUCGUUUUGCGUGAUGCAAAACUUGAUGCAAAUCGACCGGUCACUCGAGGAGCGGUCACGAGCGUUCGCAAGCCAUCUACCUACUCUGACCAAUCGAACCAUAAGCAUUGCACUGCACUCACAGCGUUUAUUUCAUGCCCGACCCAAAGUCUUGCACGCCCUUCUGAGGCGCGGCCAAGGGCCAUAACCCUCCCAUCAGCUCUAGGCGCUGCUAGUAUGCGUGUCCGCGUUCAAGAGAGCACAAAUGGAAUCGUUGGCAGGGCUCACGAGAAGCGGCUGGUGCGAGUGUUAAGCGGACGUCACAGAAAGCCCGGGUUGGCGAGCGGAGGUUCCAGUCAAGGUGGGGUGUUCCCGCCCGGUCGUGGAAUACACAUAAAUGCUGCUGCAUAGAUGUUUUCAUAUAGCUAAGCUGCAUCUCAAACCAUGCAGAGCGACGCUUUCGGGCUGAGUCCGCUGGCAACAGGGUUGUCGCGGCUCAGGCAGCAGCGCUAACAACUGUACAGGUGCGUAAAGAGCGCAAAGUUGUCUGACAUGGAAGGGCCUGCGCUUUGGGCAAGCGGACCGAACUCCAUUCUGGUUCUCUCCCGCCCGAGCAGGAGACGAAGAGUGCCGCGUCGACGAAAGUCACCGUCAGGACCCGCCUGUGCAUUCAGCACCAGGUCGCCUUUGGGAGUUCGCUAAAGGUGCGGGGUGGGUCGGGUAAAGCCUGAUGGCACCGAGGCGGCGCUUUUAGGCUCGUUUUGGAACGCAAGGCCUGGGCAAGGCGGUUAAGAUGCUUAUUUUGAGAGGACCAAGACACUGGGUACUUCUGCUGGGCUGCCCCCGGGUUGGCCUGGCCAGGCAAGGACGGUGCAUGCACAUUUUAAGGCCCCCCGAGGCUUGGCCCGCCAAAUGCAGUCAGUGCAUGCCAUGCAUCAUGUGGCUUAUUGAAAGGGUAAAGUGAUGGACUGCGCAUUGCCGGCGCGGUGUCGUUAAGUUUCCCGGCCAGCCGGCCAGCCGCAACCCCCUGACGGACGGGUGAACCGGGCGUCGCGCCUUCAUUGGUUACCUGAGGCACUAUCUCACGGCCGCACCUGCUGAAUGGGUGCAUGUAGGUUAUCGGCUCCGGACCGGAGUUUGGCGACUGGCAGGCGGAGAAGGCGGUAGCGCUUCAGUGGAACGAGGGGCACGUUUGGUCUGUGGACCUUGACCUAGAGCCGGGCUCGUACGAGUUCAAGUGCAUCACCGCAGCUGGUGACCACAUCGCCGCGUGGGAGAACGGCGUCAACCGUAUCGUACAGGUGCAGUUUGGGCCAGCAGGCAUGUGGGUUCCCGGCCUUGCUCAUCGUGAUGCUGCCUACCCACCAGCAUCCAGCGGGGCUAAUGUGUGCGUUGGUGCCGCAGGUUCCCAACGGCGUGCGUGCCAUCCGCGUAGACGGCAGCUGGUGCCGGACCUCGGAGAACCGCAUCACUGUCACAGAACCGCUAACAGCGGCGUCGGUUGCGGCGCGGCAGAAGCGCGCGGCCGCAGCACGGCUGCUGAGCAAGGCGCUCGCAGAGGUCAGCGCAGCGGCAGCAGCCAGCCCGCCCUCAGCGGCGGUGGUUGAGGCCCGUAAGGCGGCGGCGAGCGUCAAGCGGCCGGACGGCAGCAAGGCCGCAGCAGCGGCAGAGCUCGAGCGGGAGGCGAAGGAGGCUCUGCGGGAGCUGGGUGAGCUGCUAUCGUCGGACAUCGCGGGCGUUGAAAGCAGCUUGAGCUUGACUCGUGUGCGGAAGGCGGAUAAGGCAGGGCCAGGGGCUGAAGUCAAGAGCAGCAGUAGAUCAGCGGCAGAGACUAAGUCGGAGGAGGCAGGCGCAAGCAGCACCAACACCAGCGCCAAGGCGAGUAAGUCCGCUAGUUGGCGGGAGCUCCUGAGCGAGGAGCAGCCCAAGCAGGAGAAGGAGCAGGAACAGGCGAAGGAACAGCCGGCGGAGGGCCAGGUGGUCGCAGCAGCAUCCUCCGUCCCUACCAGUCUCCUUGAGGCGUCUGGCAAAGAGGGCGAGGCCCUUCCUAAGCAGGCGGAGCAGGCGGCGAAGCCAGCACCGGCUGCAACUGCGGAAGCGAACGCAGCUGCCCCCAGCAGCGACAAGGCCGAGUCCGAGGUUCCGGAUCGGUGGGCGUUUGUGAAGGCAGCGGCAGCAGCACCGGCGGCAGCACCGGCGGGUGAGAGCAAGCCAGCAGCGGACAAGGCCGACGCAUCUAAGGCCGAGCCAGCGAAGGCAGUCAGUAGCGCGGCGCCAGCGGCGCCAGUUAAGGAGCAGCUUGCGGUCGCGAGUCCAGCGGCUGCAGAGGUAGCGGCAGUCAAGCCAGCGGCACCUGCUACAGAAGCGGUCGAGGCGGCCGGCAAGAGCGCAGCAGCCAAGUCGCAGGAGAAGCCAGCGGAGGAAGCCAAGGCAGAGAAGCAGCCGGAGCAGAAAAAGGCGCCCGAUAGCAGCAGCGGGGUGUCACGGUUCGGCGGCCUGCUCGCAAAGCUUGGUGGUUCGCUAGGCUUGGCACAGCAGCCGGAGGAGGCGAAGAGCAGUAAGGCACAGCAGCCAGAGGCAGCGAAGAGCAGUAAGGCACAGCAGCCAGAGGCGGCGAAGAGCAGUAAGGCACAGCUGCCAGAGGCGGCGAAGAGCAGUAAGGCACAGCAGCCGGAGGCGGCGAAGAGCAGUAAGGCGGAGGCCGCGCCUGCAAGCAGCGCGACUGCGACCGCACCAGCCAGCGUCAGCAGCACCGGCACUAGCCCGGCCAGCAGCAGUAGCAGCACCAGCUCCAGCGCCAGCAGCGGGGGCCGGAGGUUCUCGUGGCGCUCGCUCGGUGACGAGGGCGACGAGGGCAAGAAGCAGGAGGAGCAGAAAGCGCGAGUUGCUGAGGUGCAGCCAGCCGAACCUGAGGCAGCUGUUGGUGACGCCAAGCAGCCGGAGCAAGAGGAGGACACUGCGUCGCGCUUUGCCCGCCUUCUUAAGGCCAAGCAGCAGAAGGCCGGCGGCGGCAGCAGUGCGGUAGCGGCAUCGGAAUCUCCCAAGGAGGAGAAGCCGGCGGCUGCGGAGAAGAAGCCAGAGCCAGCGGCGGUAGCGGAGCCGGCUCGAAAGGAGGAGCAAAAGAAGGACGAGAAGGCCGUUGGUGAGGCAAAGCAGCAGCAGGAGAAGGCCGGCAAGGCCGUCGCUGCAGCAGAGCCUAAGGAGAAAAGUUCGGGCGCAGCGGUCGGGGCUAACAGCACCACAGCGGCCGAACCUGACACGGCAGCCAUGGGUGCCAACAACAGCAAGCAAAUUGAAACGGUGCAGGAUGAGGGGUUAGACCGCCUGAUCAAGGUAUGGGACAGCGCCUGGAGCAAGGGCAAGAAGGAGACGCCGGCGGCGGCGCCGGAUUCGGCGGCAGAUGCGCCGUCUACAUCUUCGUCCGCGCCGGCGCCAGCGCCGGCGCCAACGAGCAGCGGGGGCCGCCGCAACUGGGCCUCGCUCGACGCAGACGAGGGGCCGUCUACAUCGGCGGCCGGCAGCGGCAAGCAGGCGCAGCGCGCAGGGAUAUCGGCGGCACUUGGUCCGGCGGCCGCAGCCGCCGCCAAGAACGCCAACGGCGGGACGCCGCCGAUCGGGUCAGGCUCGGGCGGCGCGGGCGGUAGCAGCAGUGAGAGCUUGUUCACGAUUGCGGAGCGGCUCACGUCGGCCGCUCCGGCCGCGACGCCGACGGCGGUGCCGGACGAUGCCUCGCCAGAUGUGACGAUGCGUAAGGGCGCGCUGGCGGCGAUGCAGGUGGACCGGCAGGGCAGCUACGACAACCGCUCGUCCUUCCUCUCGCAGUCGCUCCUGCAGGAGAGCCUGGCAGGCGGCAGCAACGGCACGGCAGGCGGCAACGGCAACGCCGCCGGGGGUGGCGCGGACGGGCCGAGCAGCUCCACGCUGCUGCAGAAGCUGCGCGCCGCGAAUGCGGCUCGCGGAGCGGGUGUUAGUGGCAGCGCCGCCAAUGGCAGUGCUGCCAACGGCACCUUCGUGCCGCCGCUGCCCGCGACGCCGGCGCCGCCGGGCAUCCUCUCGAACGACGACGACGACGACGGCGGGAUGGUGCCUCCACUGCCCGCCACGCCGCCGCCGCCGUCCUACCUGACCGGCCCAUCGGGCGGCAAGGGUGCUCCUAUGGGCGAUAUGGGCCCCGUGCCGCCGCUGCCUGCCACGCCGGUGGCCUCGUCCGUGCUCGGGGGCGCCGACAACGGCGGCUCAGAGAAGGGCAAGGGCGGCGGCGCGGAGGAGCUGCUGCGGCGCGCACAUGACGCGGACGCUGUGCUGGCCAUGCUGCGCGGCAACCUGCCGCUCACGCCCAUCGCGCGCGGCGGGCGCGGCGGCGCGGGCGCGGGGCCGCUGUCCAUGGCGGACGCGGAGGAGGGCGAAGACGACGACGACGACGGCAGCGUGGGCCACUCCCGCAAGCCCGUGGAGCCGCACCCGCAGGUGGGUGGGGGUUCCUUGGAUACUAGGUUACGCAAAGGUGGGGGCCGCUGCUGUUGCUGGGUUGCGCUGCCGCUUUAAUGCAUGGUUGCGUUUGGCCCUGAGUUUGCUUACGUUGUCAACUGUUUGCUCGAAGUAAAUGCAGUACCGGUAUAUGCUUGCCUUCUCAUGCCACCCCCGCCCAACCCUCGCCUACACCCACGCACACGUGGUCUUCGCCGCCGCACAGGCCGACCCGGUGGCGGCCACGCAGCGCGCCAUCGCGGACGCGGUGCAGGCCUGGGACAAGACGCGCGCGGCGCUGGCGGCGCUGCAGCAGAGCGCCGCCGAGCUGGGCCUGUCGCCAGGCGCCAUCCAGGAGCAGGCCGCCAAGCUGCUGCAGAACAUGCCGCGCGCCAUCGGCACCGACGGCAACGCCGGCAACCCCAACGCCAACGGCCAGCCCAACGCCAUCCCCAUGACCGCGCAGCUGGGCAACCUGAUGACCGGCCUGGGCCUGAGUGCAACCAGCAUUGCGGAGCAGCUUACGCGCAAGAGCCUGGACGGCUCGGAGCAGGGCGGCGGCGGGGGCGGCGGCUUGGGGCUGAUCAGCGGCCUGCUGGGCGGGCUGACGGGCAACAGCCCGCUGCCGCCGGGCUGCGUGCGGCUGGUGGCGGGCGCGCACAUGAUCCCGCACGUGGACAAGGUGGACAAGGGCGGCGAGGACGCCUACUUCAUCAGCCGCGUGGGGCUGGGCGGCGUGGGCGUAGCGGACGGCGUGAGCGGUUGGGCGGACGAGGGCAUUGACCCUGCCGAGUACCCCAGGUGCGCGGGGCUGCGCUGGGCUGGGCGGGCGUGUGGCGCGGCAUGCUGCGAUGGGGUGCGAGGCUGCGAGUCAUUCGGCGGACAGCUUGCGGCUUUGCGGACGUGUGGAGUACAUGAAGUCGUUGUUUCAGGGCUUGGGACAUGGGACGGUGCCGGAGUGCCAUGAGAUGGCGACUGUUCGGCCAUGCAUGCCAGCCUUCUCACCUGCUUGCCACCAACUCAAACGCAGGACGCUGAUGCGGUACGCCACGGACGCGUACGAGGCGGCCCGCGGCAAAUUGUCGGCGCAGGACAUUAUCCGCUACGCUCAGGUGCGUCUGGGGAUGGGACAAAGUUGGCGAGACAGCUCCCAAAGCCGCGUACGCACAUGCUCACCAUGUUCACGCCGCUCAGACGCCAACCCGCGCCUCGCUCACGGCGCCUCGCUCACGACGCCCCGCCCUCCCGCCCGCAGUACCGCACCUACCUCAAGGGCAGCUCCACGGUGUGCCUGGCGCUCAUGAAGCCCAACAAGCAGCUGGAGAUCGCCAACGUGGGCGACAGCGGGGUGCGCAUCCUGCGCAACGGCAAGGUCAUCUUCGGCACCGAGGUGGGUUGGGUGCACUGCUGCGGGCGCAUCAGCCUUGCCUGGCCCGUUGGGAGCACUGAAAGGGCAAAGAGUAUAUAGGCCCACACGACGCUGACGCUGUGCAUAUGCCUGCUGCGCUGCCGCUCCGCCGGCCCUCCUCGCCUACCCUUGCAGGCCCAGCAGCACGCCUUCAACAUGCCCUUCCAGCUGUCUCACCCCAACAAUGUAGAGGACCCCGACUCGGCCGACGACGCUGACGUGCACCUGGUGGAGGUGAGAUCCUUAGCCUCAUCUCCACAUCAUUUGGCCUGCGUCCUCAAAGCCCUCCUCCCCACAUCAAUAGCCCUGCGGCGUACUCCCUACCUCGCAAGUCUCUUCUCCGUGGCUCCGUUGCCUGCAUAACCUGUCAUCCAAGCAAAACCGCCCGUCUUCACGACUAUCCCCGCCCUUCACUACCCCUGCUUUCGCCUCCCAUCCCACAGGUCCAGGACGGCGACGUGAUCAUGCUGGCCACUGACGGCCUGUUCGACAAUGUCUUUGACGAUGAGAUCGAGCAGAUCGUCAGCCACCAGCUGCGCGAGCUGGCCUCGCAGGGCCGCGGCAAGGCUCCGUCCGCGCCCAUGUCGCUCAUGAGCAUUGGCGCGGGGCCGCCGCUGCCCGAGAUCACCCCCACCAGCGCCGCAUCCAACGGCUCUGCCUCGGCGGCGACGGGGUCAAGCGGCUCAGCGGGCAAUGCGGCGGCGGGCGCGGUUGGAGGCGGCACGGGUGCUGCGCGCCCGCGCGGAGCUGGGCUGCUCAGCCAGAGCCUCAACGCGGCGGCUGCGGGCGCCGGCGCCAAGCCGGGCACGUACCGGUCGGAGGACGCCGCGCGUGUGGCGCGUGCGCUGGCGGAGCGGGCGCACCUGCACGCACGCAACCCCACCCAGCGCACGCCGUGGAGCGUGACCAGCAGCCAGCAGCCCAACUUCAUGUGGGCGAAGUUCUUCGCCAAGGGCGGCGGCAAGAUGGACGACUGCACCGUGCUGGUCGCCUUCGUGUGCAGCGAGUAGAGCUGCGGGGUGCGGGGUGCGUAGGCUGAGAAGCCUUGCCGGACGGUUGUGGGGUGCGAGCGUCACAUCGCACGGGGGAAUGGGUUGGGCCCGAGGAGAGGUGCAGCUGGCGGCGGCUUGCUUUUUGUAUGUGCAGUGUUCGGGAAGAUUGGCGUUCAGGAGCUUGGCGCCUGGUGUUUGAUGGGCGGUGCUUGGGAGUUGCAGUCAAGAGGCACGACGUUGCCACCGAGUCAGUAUCGGCGAGACUACGAAGCGCGCGUGCGAGUCUAUUGCCACUUUAUGAAGUCUCCUGCGACAAUGGGACAAGGUGGGAGAAGAACAACAGCGAUGGCGGGUGAUGGGGUGCGUGUGUGCUGCAGCGUGUGUGUGCAGAGUAUGGAGGACAGGUUGACGCUGUCCUCCCCACCCGUCCGGCCUAGGUCCGUUGACGUAGGGAGCUAGAUUGGUGGAUCCCGUCCCAGCGCGAGCCCCAAUACACCGUCCUGAGUGGUCGUCUGUUUUAGGCGCAAACUCAACACAUUGCUUCGGCGUGUGGGGACGCGGCGUUGGCGAGAGCCACGGAUGGCCCUAAUACCGUGGGGGCAUGUCGCAUCGUGGAGGGCACUGUAUUUGGGUCAACGUUAAUACGUGCAGGGUACAGUCUCGGGUUGGUUCGGAACACCGUCAUGGCGAGUCGCCUGAACAUGUUUGGGUUCAUGCUUCACCGUGCCAUUUGCUUUUUUCUGCCUGGUUUGCAGUAAGAGAAUCUGUGUGCGCCCAUUGCACGUGCACAUGUGCGGCGGUAGGAACUUUUUACGUGAACAUGAUUAGGGAAAGGUUGAGCUCUGUAUGGGAGGCGCCGUUGUCCUGUAGAGCAGAUACGGUAGAGACGCAAGGCCCGCGAGACUAUAGAGAGGGAGAGGGGGAACAGUGAGCGGCAAGUAGUGAUGGACGCGUGCCUGCAUAGCGGUCUUGGAAGUACAUGCGAACGCGUGUUUGCCUUAUCUACGUGCUGUUUUGUUGUCAGUGUUGUUUCCGUGUGGGCGGCAUGGAGAUGGCGCACUGGCGCCCGUCCCUUUGCCCAUGCAUGCUACAAAGUUCCGCUGGUCAGGCGGGCGCAGCGAAGCGUGUGGCUGCGCGGAUUGUACAUUAUGGAUGGAUAAACCGCUUGGACAUAUCGUGCGGCGACUCCCGGAGGGUGCCAAAGCUCAGGGAGGCUCUUGAAAGGGGCUAUUUUAACUGCCACAGUGGACUGGGCUCAUUCUGGCCCAUGCGUCUUGUGCUUGGCUCGGGACGCUCUCCCCGGAGACUACCGUGGGGGAAUACUAAGGCGCAAGUACCACACUAGCAUCUACGCGUUCUACUCAGCUUCACAGGUCGCUCGCCAGGUCACCUCCAGACUGACCGGCAGUUUACUGGCAACUUAACUUCGAAAUCAAACUCUGAUGCUGUGUCCUCCCGGCACUCCCCGCAUGCCUAAUUGCACGCCGCUCAGCCGCCACGCCGCUUCACGAACCGCCGAACCGGUUAUAGCAUUGGAGGAGCUGACGUCUGAUGCCAGCGCCUUGCAAGCAGGCACAGCACCCUGCGCCGCUGCGGCACUGCUACCACAGCUAUGGCCAGCCUCGCCGCAAGCCGCUCUUGACCCCCCCCGCCCCCCCUACACACACACGGGCACAGGGCCACAGGCUCCGGGGAGCUCUCGGGCGAUUCGCUUCAUUUCUAACACAUAGGCACACACUAAGUCAACACAGUCGCAACGUGCACCGGCAAUCCUGUUAUUCCUCUUUGUGUUGUUGCCCAGAGGGCGCUUUAUAGACGUACACAUUCAAGCCGUCGGCGUUGUCUUUCGUCAGCAGCCGCUCCUGCCAGCCUGGCAGCCCAACCUACAGCCAUAUGAGACCAUGUUGCAUUGGUCUUCCGAUACGUGCAAGCCCAUGGCAUUUGCUCUAUACCGAAGCCAGGUUACCAAAGCGUCCCUGUCCCAUGCUUGUGGACCAAGACCUGCUCCCGGCACUCACGGGGAAGUAGAAGGAAGCCACUCGUGUCCCUGGCUUUAGUGUGGCCUGCACGCUCUUCAGAAGCCGGCUGUUCCCGUGGUCCGACAGAUACCUGCAGCACAAAUUGGGCACAACACAACCAGACGAGUGAUGCCGCCUUCAGCGCGCCGUUCCACGCCCAGCGUGGCAGCACAUAUACGGUGUAUAUUCCGCGGUCGUGAAACCACUGCCGCUGCCGGGCUCUUACAGCGCAAUGACGGAGGCGUCGCUGACGUCAGCACUGGCCGCGUCCGCCUUCACCACCUUGACCAGGUGCUCCAGACCCGCCUUGCGAGCGGACUGCGGCGGGCAGCGGCGGGCCACAACACGGCCACAUGCGCAUCAGUUUCCUUGGCGAGUGGUGUGCAUCCAGGAAACCGUCAUACCCCGCACGAGCACAAACCCGCCAGGGCUCGCCGCGUGUGCGCUGCCCUUCGGUGCGCCCCCGCAGCCAUCACGCGGUCGCGUCUCACCCCACCCCAUCGCCACGCCCCGCACCGCGACACAUCGCCGCCUUCAUCCCAUGGUCACCUCCCGCUGUCCCGCCCCUUCCACCUCCGCCUCGUGCCUCCACCUCCCUUUCCGCCUCCCCCUAGGCACCUCCACCUCCACCCAAACCCAGCUCAACACCUCCUCACCUCCACCGCGUCACGGACCAGCUCCACAUCCAGCUCAUAGCCCACCGCCCGCGCCCCCCGCCGCGCCGCCGCCAGCAGCACCCGGCCGUCGCCACAGCCCAGGUCGUACACCGUGUCGCCCGCCCGCACGCUGGUUAGGUCCAGCACCCGGUUGAUGACCUGUGCGUUCGAGUGCGAUGACCACGGCUGUGACUAAGAUUGGAAUGCAGGGGUGGCGGGAGCUCCAGGCCCCACGUGCGAAGGAUACCGGGCUCAGUUGUACAUGCUGACCGGCGGUGCUGUUUCUGGUGUACGUAUGGAUGCGGAUUACAAGUGAAGGGACAGCCCGACAAGCGGGGGCACGUACGUACGUAUGGGGCCGAAACACCACGCAUGGACUGGUGCGACACCUCGUGCUGCUGCUGCUGUUGCUGCUCAGCUGAAAUCGGAUGCGGGUAGCGGUGUGGAUAUAGGCAAAGGUCAUGCUGCGGGGGGUUAGCGCGUGCGGCUGCUGGGGCAUUCAGGCGCACCGAGUCGGGUGUGGGGUAGAACGGCGCCACAUAGGGCGUGUAGGGCAGCAUGCAGCGCAACCAGGUCCGCAUCUCGAAGAUGAUGGAGGCCAACGGCCCCUUGUCCAGCACCGUAGGCAUGCUGGUUUCGUGGGCUACCAGCUGACGGGCCCCAAUCCAGUUCCACACAGGGUGUCAAACUGCGAGGAUGGAGGAUCAAGGGAUCGAGGCUUGACGCAUAGCGAACGCCGACUAGUACACUACGAUGAGCAUGGUUGCUCUCAUGCUUUUAGCGAAGCUGCUUGAGGCCAAGAAGUGGCCUUCUCUGUCAUCGCUGUGCAACCUGCACGAUUAUCUAAACGACGGAUUCAUGUGGCCUUGCGUCUGUCAGUUACGGCUAGAGUUUUGUCCCAUGACCUUAUUGAGUACAGUUCGAAAAUAGCGCGCCGGGCUCGGCGACCCAAACGAGGAUCGGGGUUGCAUGGGGUUUCUAUUUUUGCCCCGAGUCGAGGCAGCAGCGUGCUGUACUUGAGAGUUUACUACAGCUAGGAAUGGUCUUACAUGUCAUGACUUAGUUAUCGGGGACGGAGGGGCAUUCAGCGCGCAGAAGCGGGCAAGAAUGAAGUCCUCAGGCUUCGCCAUAAAGUCUAAGAAGACUCCUUUUCAGGUAAACUGCUAGGCAAAUAUUCAGUAUUGUUUGAUGCCCCCAUUCGGCGCACUCGGUACUCAGUAUUCACCGGGCCACUUCGUGCUGCUGGCGUUGCAGAAACAUAAGGAAGCUGAGGAGGAGCGCAAAAAGGUGCGUCAGAUCAGGGGUAAAGGAGGUGGCAUGCCGCAGCCUGCGCAAAGCACAGCGCUUCGGAAGCGCGUAUUAAGGUGGUGCAGCGCAGUCGUUUUCCCGCUCCUGGCCGCGCUGCACCCCCGCCCACCCUGACUGCCCCAUGCCCGACCAAACCGUGCGACGCCACAGAAAGCCGAUGAGGAGGCAGCACGUGUGUAUGAGGAGUUCGUGGAAUCGUUCUCCUCCGCGCCAGAGCCAAAGCGGGGCGGUGGCUUUGUGAGGGGUGGCACGGUGCUACCUGGCAGCAAGCCCACUGAUGGUGCGUGAGCCCGAGGCCGCCUCUGCCUGAAGGCGGAGGGGGGCGGGGCGGGGGUGCUGAGGCUCCGACAGCAUGCAUGCGCCAUGGAGCGCACGCUGCGCGGACCAUGACUCCGGGGCUUACCGUAUGUAGGGCACCGCGUAGAGAGCAGGCACCCAGCUGUCCGCCUUGCCGCGCGUCGGCGUGCUGCAUCCUCCUGAGGCCCGAAACACUCUUUUCCCUCCCGCUUUUGCUCAUGCAGCCCCGGCGCCCGUGGGUCUGUCCAGCAAGAAGACUACCAAGUAUGUGCCUUCCUUCCUGCCGCCCUCGGCCGCGGCCUUCGAUGCCGCGCCCAAGCCCAAGGCGUUCGACGAUGACGAGGUGAUUAGAGCCGAGCCCGCCUCAGCCACCAGCACCGCCAGGGCUGCAUCGGUCAGCACUUUCAGCAGCCUCUCAAGCAGCUACCUGCGGUCCUUGUGGCCCCGUUGCUGCGGCGGCGUUGUGUUGUGCUUUCUUGAGAGUGGCGUCCCAUUAGUGGGGCUAUCUGCAGACCCAGCCGCAAGGCACAGCACCAACACCAGCGGCAGCAUCCGUGCCAGCUGUCCGUACAUGCGUGUUGCGCCUGCCUGCCUGUGUACCUGCUGCUUGCGUGCGUGCGUGCGUGUAUGCGUGUCCCCCGCGAACCCUCGCUUGACGUGUGCCCAUGCGAUUACUUGCCUCGGGGUUUAGUCUGUGUUCCAAGCGCCGGCCAAGAAGACCGACAAGGACAAGCCUCGCAACAUUGACAAGAUGUUGGAGCAGCUUAAAAAGUAAGCGACAUGUGUGCAUAGCUUGUUCAAAUGCCAUUUCCGCAUGGCAAGACAUGAAGACACCCAGCGUAAACCGCUGGCAUGCUGCUACGGAGGCAGCACGUGAACAUGCUAAACGCACACCGGUGGCGGGACCGCUUUUGCAACGCAGGGAGCAGGAGAUGCGGGAUAAGGGGAUCCCGGAGCCGGGUCCGGAGCGGGCCCCCUUCGGCAUGGACGGCGGCUUUGGCGGGGGCAGCUUUGGCGGCGGCGCCGGCGGCGCUGGACCCUUUGGCGGCGCCGGGGGCGUCCGCGGGGCCAUGGGUGGCUCCUUCGACCACGGCGACCCCUUCACCACCAACCUGUAUGUGGGCAACCUGUCCCAGGAGGUGGGUUGGGGCGGGCGGGGUGGCGGGGAGGGGCGGGGCGUCAGGAGUCAUGGUGUAAUGGCGGGGGGAUGGGCGGCUUUGAAGGAGGCCGCGGGGACAAGUAAACUGCGAGGCGGGGUGUCUAGGGCAAUUCAGCGUGCCGCACAUCGCUUCUUAUUGCCUUUAGUUAAGCAUGCUUAAGCUUCACUGUAACAAUUUGAUGGUUACAUAGCACGUGUUUGUCUGCUCCACCCGCCGCGCCCCAGACUGACGAGGAGGUACUGAAACGCGAGUUCGGGCGCUUCGGCGCCAUUGCCAGUGUCAAGGUCAUGUGGCCACGUGACGAGGAGCAGCGGCGCAAGGGGCGCAACUGCGGCUUUGUGGGGUUCAUGGUGCGUGCCGCUUGUACUAGUGCUCGUGCUUGAAAUUGCAUUUGCUUCGGCAGCAGCGGUUGCGGGCGGCAACCGGCCACGUGCCGUGUGGUCUCUUGUGGAGUCGUGGCGUUGCCCAUUGUUCGUAGCUGGCGGCGAUGAUACGGCGGCUAACCUUUACCUGGACAAUUCCGCGCUCAUUGCCUAAUCCCAACACGCCCACGACGCGCAGAAACGCGACGACGCGGAGAUGGCGAUGCGGAAGUUGCAGGGCAUCAUCCUGCACGGCAACGAGCUGCAUAUCGGGUGGGUCUCCACAACACUUUGUGCAUGUGUAUGUACCGUAUGUGUGUUUGGGCACCGCUGCGUUGCUGGGCUGGCUGCGUGGCGGCAGCGUAUGUGGUAGUGCCGCCGCCUGCCCCGCCAUGCCUCGUGACGCGCUUGUCGCCAACCACCAACCACUACUCCUCUCGCCCAACCACUACCACCACCACCACCGCUGCCGCCUUCUUCUACGCAGCUGGGGCAAGGCCAUCCCGCUGCCCGCCAUCCCCAUCUACGACCCGCGCGAGGGCGCCGUGGUGUCCGCCAUCCCCGCCGCCGCCACCCGGCCCGCGCACCUGCUGCCCGACCUGGUCAUCCCCAAGAAAGCCUACAACGACGACCACAGCGUGCACAGGGUGAGGGCAUGUGUGCGUUGUGUGUGUGUGUGUGUGUGUGUGUGUGUGUCUACGGUUUCCACGGUUAUUCUGCCAGAUCACGUGUGUGUGUGUGUGUGUGUGUGUGUGUGUGUGUGUUUAUGACCACAACAACGGAAGGAGUGAUGUGUGUGUAUGUGUGGGAGGGAGGGUCACGGGGGGGGGUGGUCAUGACGGGGUGCGAGUGAGGCUGUAGCCAAAGCAUGGUACGGUAUGUGCGAGCAAUUCACUUGCCCUAGGCUGCGGCUGCUGCUUGUUGCGCGACUGCCUCGUCACGAGCUGCAUGAGGAGCGCAGCACGGGGAUAUUACGGUAUUAACUGUCGCCAUGCGCUCACGUGUGUGUGUUAGAAAACGAAACGAAAGCCCGCUUCACGUGUGUGUGUGUGUGUGUGUGUGUGUGUGUGUGUGUGUGUGUGUGCUUGUGUACAGGGCACCGGCACGGACAUUGAGAUCAAGGUGCCGGAUGACCCGCGCCUGAGGUACAUCAUCGACACGCUGGCGGUGUACGUGCUGCAGGUGGGGGCAGGAGGGGCAGGGAGGGAGGAGGGAGGAAGAAAAGAGGUCAAAGAAGAGAGGAGGAGGCGGGGGAAGCUGGGGAGUGGGUACGGAAGUGGGGUGGAGCCUGCAGUGACUGCUGGUUGCCGGCUCCCGGCCACGCCCACUUAACCACCUCUCCGUCCCUCUCACCUACCCCCACCACCGCCCUUGUGCCCGGGCGCAGGACGGCUGCGCCCUUGAGCAGGCUGUGAUGGAGGCGGAGCAAAAGAACUUCGACUUCGCCUUCCUAUUCGACCUCAAGUCCUCGGAGCACCUCUACUACCGGUGCGUGUAUGUAGAUGCGCGCAUGUGUUUGUGUUUCUGUGCACCGCCCACGCAUGCCCCUGACUGUGGCACGGCUGUGCGGUAUCCGCCCUCGCGCGCGAGCCCCACUUGAAGCCUGCACCUGCACCUGCCCCUCCUGUUUCCACUCGUACCGUAUCCUGUUGCCUGCCAUAUCUCCUCACCCUCUUGUCGUGCCCAUGCGCCUGCGCCCUCACACAGCUGGCGGCUGCACUCGCUGUCGGAGGGCGACACGCUGCGCACCUGGCGCAUCGAGCCCUACUGCAUGGUGCACGGCGGCCAGCGGUGGGUGGCGGGUGGUGGGCGGCGGGUGGCGGGGGUGGCUUGCUCAAAUCCCAAAGAAACCUAGGGGGGUGAGGGCUGUCCAGGUGGGCAAGGUCCGGGCAGUGGAGCACAGGGCAUUGGGACGGGGUGUGUCCAGGUGCCGGGUGCGCGGCUGUUUCACUACCUCACACGUUCACGGCUGGCGGAUGCAGCCAUGCACGGGCCUCAAGCUUACCGGUAUCAUCAGGAGCACCAACCUUGCCCCUCCACCUCGUGCCUGCCCUCCACCCUCAAUCCCCACCCCUCACAGCUGGGUGCCGCCGCCCAUGACCACCCUGGCCGAGCCCAGUGAGCUGGACGACCGCACCGCGGCGCAGAAGGCCGACGGCAGCGGCCCGGCGGCGCCGCGCGAGCGCGAGCGGCCGCUGUCCGACAGCGAGCGCGACCGCUUCGAGGACAUGCUGCGGUUCCUCACCGUGAGUGUCAUGCUGCCUCAUGAGCGCGGCGUGUGGAGAGCGCUGCGUGUUGCUUGUUGCGGUGUGUCCUUUGGGGGCUGCUCCGUGGCGUACCGUGGCAUUAUAAACUUUGUGAGUCCUCCGCUCCAGCUUCCUGCCAUGAAACCCUCCUUGCACCUGCCAUACGGCUCGGCCCCAAUCGGUUUCAAUCUGUUGCUCGUCACUCCGCAACCCCCCAUCCGCCGCCCCCGGCCCCGCAGGUGGAGCGCUCCGACAUCUGCGACGCCAUGAUGUUCUGUCUGAGUGCGGCGGACGCGUGCGGCGAGAUCGUGGACAUCCUGGCCGAGAGCCUCAGGUGCGGGCGGGCAUUGUGUGCAUGCGUGCAUGCAUGCGUGCGUGUGUGUGUGUGUGUGUGUGUGUGUGUGUGUGUGUGUGUGUGUGUGUGUGUGUGUGUGUUUGUGAGUUAGUGAGAUAGUGCAGCCGAGUGAUGGCUUGCUUGUCGUCAUUGCACCAGCACGUGCUGAGAAGCCACUUGACACUUCAACUCACCCGCUGACGUGUCUGUGUGCCCCUUCCAUGCACCAUACAAUCCCCUCCACCCGGGCAGCCUGAGUGAGACGGCGGUGCCGCUCAAGAUCGCGCGCCUGUUCCUGCUGUCAGACCUGCUGCACAACGCCACCGCGCCCGUGCGGAACGCCUCGAGGUACCGCGUCAAACUGCAGGUGCGUGUGCGUGUGCGUGCGCGUGUGCAUGCUGCACCCCUGCACCCUGACGCCGUUCAACCCUCCCCCAUCGCCAUGCCCGCAGGCGGCGCUGCCGGACGUGUUCGAGAGCCUGAACGAGACGUACCGCGGCGCCGACGGCCGCAUGCUGCAGGAGGCACUGCGGCGGCACGUGCUGCGCGUGCUGCGCUGCUGGCGCGACAAGUACAUCUUCACAGACGACUACCUUAACGGCCUGCAGGUGCGGGCUGCUGCUGGCGGUUGGUCGGCUGGUUGGUUGGGGGACUGUCUCAAGUUGGCUACCCGCCCACGGCACACGCCCACGACCGCUUCGCAACACGCCUCGCGGUCUUCCAGGCCUUCCCGCGGUCUCCAAUCAGCCAUGCCUGGACUCCUUGCCCCCUCCCUCCCCUCCCUUCCCCACCCUUCAGGCCGUGUUCCUGACCACGGGCAGCAGCACGGAGAAGGCGCUGGGCGACAACCCCAGCCUGCGGGCCGAGCUGGAGGCGGCGGAGCAGGAGGAGCUGGAGCGGCGGGCUAAGCUGGCGGGCCUGAGCACACGCGGCGGCAAGGCGGCCAUGGUGGGUGGUGGGUGGUGGCUGACGCCAUCGUGUGUGUGGAGUGGGGUGGAAUUGGUUGGGCCAACCAAUUCCACCCCACAGUACGGGUAUGGAUGGGUUGGUGUGAUGGGUAGGUGUAAGGGUAUUGGUGGUUUGUGGAGCGGGUUGGGAGUGUGGGAUGCAGGGAACGGGUCAACUGCUCGCCUGUAUGCUAUUGGUUGCUUGCUAAUUGCGCGUGUCGGCAUGUGUGUCGUAGGGGCUGCAGCCGUCGGACCGCCAAACGAAUUCCUCUGCCUCCUCUGCUCCCCCACACAACCCACCUGCCAC
rnacentral:lncRNA from 1 species